rnacentral:lncRNA from 1 species
UUUUCGGGCAAAGGUACAAAACAUUUACUUCUUGCUGUCUUGAACCUUUGAAGGAAACCUUCUGCCCAUUCAUUUGGCAUUUGACGUAGAUUCGCCAAAUCGGCCAAAGUAACUUCAGAUUCAGUCUUAUAAAACUGAGCAUGGAAUAAUUGCUCCAAUUGUUGCCAUGUUUGAACAGAGUUCGCUGGCAAAUUGAUGAACCAAGAGAAGACUGCUCCUGUUAAUGAACUAGGGAACAACCUCAUUUUAUGUUAGUCGGUUACUUCACCACUUUGCAGUGUGAAUCGCCCUAUGUGUUCUAGAGUAUACAUCUCUCCUAAAUCGGUAAAUAAUGAGAAUUCUGGCACUUUAUACCCUCUUGGCCAUGGAUAUGUUUGGUUUACCCAAUCAGGGUAUGGCUUUGUGUAAGUCGGCCUAAUGACAGGACGUACCCCAAAAACCAUUUGAUCCUGUACUAUUUCCAUAAUUUGGUUUCUCAACAUGACGUUGAGGUCAUAUAAAAUUCCUACAGGUUGGUUGGUCGGUUGAUUUGCCUGAGGCCUGAUGUUUGGUACUUCGUUGGCAACAAAGUUGCCAUUAUUUGGGUCAUUGCUGCCAUUAGCCUGAAUAUUUAUUCCAUCAUUGACACGUGGGGUAUUCUGUCCAUUAUUUAGGACAUUGUCUCUUACAUUUAGGUUACCCCCCAAGUUAGCUGUACCAUUACCACUAUUCUGAUUUGGCAUUACACCAUCCCCCUGGUUUGAAGUAGAGGGACCAAAAGGUGGUUCUAUCCAUUGAUUUGGACUUAGGACUGUGGGAUUAUAUCCCAUAAUUGUCCUAGUUUGAAAGUGAUUUGCAAGAGGCACAACUGGCUGGCAAAUUUGGCCUACCAACUUAUUCAUUAUUUCAUUCAAAGUAUUCAGUUGUUUGGCCAUAUUGUCAUAAUGUGCAUUCCCAUUCUGGGUAAAUCUUUCUAUAUUAUGAAUAUUUCCUAGAUUUACCUGUUCAACGACAUUCUGUGUGAGUUCUCCAAGUAAUGCACGCAUGGUUCGAGGAUUCAAAUCUGUCAUUGGUUCGUAACGACUGUGACUGCUCUGACUCUAUCCCUCUAUUCGUGGAGAGCUAUGCUGCUCCUCAUAUCGCUCCAUCACAGACUGGACUCCUCCCUGACUUGCUGCUUCCUUAUCAGAUUUGUGAGGCAUAUUGUUUCACCUUUUGUAUCUUCAACACCAAACACCAAUGUCCCACUGGGCGUGCCAAAUUGUUUCGCGCGGGUAGUCGCUAACAAUUAAAAAGGGAUCAGACGAUUGUGUAAGGAAUAAACCUCUUGAGACAAAGUCUCAAAAAGGGGUGUUUUAUUGGCGAUGAUUUACAAUUGGAACUAAACAGAAUGCCUCCAAGGGGCGCAAGCACACGAGUACUGAAAAAAAUGUUUAAGUUUAAACUAAAAAAUUGAAAUUACAUAUUCUCUGUUUGAGAGUGUUUGAUUCGGGGUCUUUCUCUCUAUGUCUUCUCUUCCUUUUAUAUUUCCUUGAUGAUUUCUUCGUGACAAACCGCUUGGAAAUUGCUUGAUUGCUUUAUAACUACCCACUUUCUUUAUGGUGGCUAACUUGUCGUGGAACUGCCGUCUCUAACUGCUGCCACUCCUCUUUGUCGUUCAACCGCCUUCAACUGGGUUCCUUGAAUCGUGGAAUGUGAUAAGGUUACUUAAUAAUUGUUUCAAUUACUGCAUUUCUGGAUAAUCAUAACAUUUUAUGUUUGCUAAGAUCCUGGGCAAUUCGAAGGUAUGAGCGAGAAUAGGGUCAUCGCUCUGGGCGACUGUAAAGCACUCCAUUCGCUCAGAUUUUGGGCGUCUUGCAAGCAUGGACGAUGAUGUUACUGUGUUCGUGGGCUUCCACUGCAUUCAUUAAUAAUUAUGUCUGGGCCUUUAUCCUGAAUUGCCCAAUUGGGCUUCAUUCUUUGGGCUAUUUGAUUUGGGAAUUCCUUAAUUGGGCUUAAUUCCUUGGGCUAUUCGAUUUGGGCUGCACUUUUAGUGUGUCAACAGAUUCUUUUUAGAGGAAUUACUAAUUCAUUAAUAAGUUAUUAAUUCAUUUUAAAUUAACACUAUAAAAAUGUGAUUAGUUAUUCUUGAAUUGAGUUUGACAACUAAAUCAAAAAGAAAAAAAAUCUUAAACUUCAUAGAUAGAGAGAUUUGACAUUAAUAUAAUUAUCAUCUCAUUACUAAUGAAAUGAAAAUAAAAAGGAGCUAGGAAGGAACCCCUAACUUUUAAUAUACAGGAAUGUAUACAGGUCAUAUGCUAACGAAAGGGGGUGGAAGACCAUAUCUCCAAUCAAUAUAUAACAAUCAAAGCAUAUCGUCUAAAAAAUUAAAUUUAUUAAAGCUCAAUAAUAAUUCUUUUUUUCAGGGAAAACACAUUGCUGCUAUAUUUCGAGUAAUUUCGAAUUGCAGUGACAAAUGGAAGACAUUCUUCAAUCUUUUAGGUUAUAGGAGACGUUUGAACCAUUCAGUCACUUUUUGACCAACUCAAAAAUCUCUCUCUACAGAAUACUUGUUGAAUGGAUAAAGUUUCUACUGGAGAACUUUGCAUAGGAAAACGUGUGCUGCUAAGAAUUGAUGCGAAGCAAUUCACGAUUUCACUGAUUGUUUAAAUAAAAGUAUCACACCAUGCAAAUUCGUUGCAAUUAACAGAAUACUGAAGUAUUUAUAUUGAUGGGUUGAAAUUGUGGUGAUACAACAAUUAAUAUUAUGUGAAAGGAAUUGGCUAUAUAGAGAGAGAGGAUGAUAGGUUGCAAUACUUUUGGGAAAUUUCUGAGAAAGACUUGAUGAUUUUUAACAGACUUGUUGAUUUAAGAUAAAGAUAGGCGCACUCUACUUUCUUCGGAAUAUGCUAUGCUUGUAUAAUUGUAUUCUUGUUACACACCUUUGUCCCUUAGAACUUCCUUUAGCAGAUAGAUGCAAUAUCAGAAAAUUUAUUUGUAUCUUUGGCAGAUAGAUGCAAUAUCAGAAAAUUUAUUUGUAUCUUUGCCACGAACGUGACAAAAUACUAAAGAAUAAAUUAACGUAGUCGACCUAGCAAUCAAAUUUCAUUUAUCUCUAUUCAUCUAUUAUUUACUUCGUCCAUCUCUUAUUUUCUUCACUAGUUUGUUUUGACAUCGGCAUUCAUCAUAUCUUGUCUAAUUAGUUUUUAUUACAUAUUUAUAUAAUAUUCAAUGCUACCAAAGCGAAAAAGAAUAGCCCAUUAUAUCUAUUUUCGACCUUAAUGUUUUAAAUGUCACUCUUCUUGGAUUGAUAUUUACAAUAUUAGGGAUAGGUAAAAUAUUCUAAUGAAAAAAUGUCAAUUAGUCAAGCCGCUUAUUAAUAAUAUUCAUCAUACUAAUCUUUCUAAAAUCCAAAAUAGGUCUAAUAAGUUUGCUUACAGAAUUUUCUCUUAAAAAACAAUACAAAUGCUUCAUCAAAAAGACCUUUGGCCCCUCAUUAUAGUAUUAAAACAGCAUUCCUGAUCAGAAAAUCAAGCCUGCAAGAAAUCUCAAUAUCCUCUUCAAUACUUAUGACUUCAUGCAAAUUUGAAUGAAGGAGAUGCUGUUUUUAGGGUCGUCGACAGCUUGCCUCCCAUUAAUUAAUAAAAAUAAAAAAUGAGGUAAGGUCUGUGAUCCAAUUUUAUUGGCUACCUUGAUUAUGCAAGUAUUAACUGUGUGUUUUGAUUGGUUGCAGAUUUAUUGGGCAUUAAGGUGGAGAUUUGUUGGGUUUUUGAUACCCAAUAAAUCCCGGGCUAUGAUGUUAACGUGGGUUAAUAUUAUUUCAUAGGCAUAGGCCGAUGAAUGAAAUAAGUCCAACAACCAAGUCCAUGAGCUACACCCGGCCCAAUUGUAUUCCUUAUGGAUGGCUUGAAUCUUGGCCCGUUUACCCCUUUAAUGACCCAACUUAAAGUCUAACCCUAUAGUAUAUAUUUGGCUAUAACCCUAACCACUUUGAUAUGAUGAUUGUGUGAUUUUGAGAUAAGAAACAAGAGAAUCCCGACUGCCCCCCUUUUGUGUGAGAAAAAGGUGUCCAAAAGUGUCCAGAACGUUUGUAUAACGUGUGCAAUUGGUGGUUCUUUCAUAGUAUACCUUUGUGGUGUCUUCUCCUAGCCUUUGUAGCCGUAAAUCAUCAUCCUUUCUUGUCCUACGUGGGUAAGAUUGUAUAGCAACCAAGGUGAAUUAAUUGGUUGUGAUUUGGAGCCGUUUGGAUUGGUUGUUGGUAGAGAAAGAUACGUUGGACUGAGCCUGGAAAACUACCGUUUGAAGAUCUUUUGAGAGAGCUUCCGCAAUAGGUGGUUUACAUAAUAUCUCUAUGCUACAACAUGAAAAUUAUUCACAUGACAUUAUGUCAUAAAACGCAGACAAUAUUAAUCUUCAUUAUCUUUUCUUUCAAUCAGAAAAACAGCUAUAGAAGGAUCUAAAAGAUAAUAACUCAUCUACAAGUUGCAAACUAUUAAGAACCCUACUUCAGUAAUGGCUGAGAAAUAAAUUUCCCAAAGACAGAUAAUAUUGAGUAUUUUUAUACACGGGAACAAGAUUUAUAUGAGACAUGCAUUUAAGCAAUCUUUGAAAUGAAAUGAACAUUUAGGACCACCUCAUGGUUAUCAUUCAAAAUAAAGAACGCCUAAUACAAACCUAAGCCAAGCUAUGAAGCUAAGACCUAAAAAAUUGCUGAUCAUCACACUAAAAAAUGAACAUAGGUUUAAUUUGUCGAAUCUCACAAUGUGAUUUUCCCAAUAUAAUUUCUGCAAUUGUUUAACAAUGUCCUGAGUUCUAUCAAAGCUCUCCUCACCCACUACUAUAAUUUGGAAGUCAACAUCCCUGAUUAGACAACAAAUACAAGGUGCUAUCUUUCCUAUAAGUUACAAAGACGACAGGUCAAUCCCCAACGGCAUGUGGAUGCUUACAAAGAUAUUGACUCGGUACGCUCGAUUAAAUAACGAGAACUACUUUUGGAUAUUGCAUAUUUAUUGGAGGUAAUUUAGUGAUAUGGCGAAGCAAAAAAAAUCAUGGAGAGAUCAAGUACAGAACCAAGCCUCGAUCCAUGGUGUUGGAAUAUGAUAAAACAAAACAUAUUGAAAUUGAUUGACAUUUCAUCAAAGAAAAGAUAGAGAAUAGGCUUAUUUGCACAUCAUUCAUCCCUAUUGAGAGCAAAAUUAGCAGACAUGCUAACAAAGGGGUUACCUUUAAGGGACCCUUCGACCAUUAGUAUAUUAUAGUUAAUUUAUAAUAAUACUUAAAAAUGAUUUAUUAAAUACACAUUAUAGUAUGUGUACUUUCAAUUCAGAUAGUUACAGCCAUUUUAUUUUAAAAAAUUAAUUAUUCCAUUAUUAUUAGGUUUAAUUCAAAAAAAAAAAAAAGAACUUUUAACAUUCUAUUUUCUAUUUUAAAUGUAAUUUUUUAAUCUCAAAUGAUAAUUUAGGCACAGCAUUUGCAAAAAAAAAAAAAAAAAAAAAAAAAAAAAAAAAAAAAUAUAAAAAACAAAAAANNNNNNNNNNNNNNNNNNNNNNNNNNNNNNNNNNNNNNNNNNNNNNNNNNNNNNNNNNNNNNNNNNNNNNNNNNNNNNNNNNNNNNNNNNNNNNNNNNNNNNNNNNNNNNNNNNNNNNNNNNNNNNNNNNNNNNNNNNNNNNNNNNNNNNNNNNNNNNNNNNNNNNNNNNNNNNNNNNNNNNNNNNNNNNNNNNNNNNNNNNNNNNNNNNNNNNAAAAAAUUAUAAAAAGCACUCGGCAUUAUUAAAUUAAAAAAUAAAUAAAUUACUCCACCUGGCAGAGGAAUGAGCCACGGCAGCACAGGCGUCCACGAUCUCGACGCACAAUUGCAGGUCUCGGUGGUUACCGGUGGCCUCAUGAGAUCUCAAGCAGGUGAAAGCUGCACCCAGAAGACCCGUAUACACUGUCGGGUCCAAGCUCCCAUUACUGCCCCGACCUUUCCACGUCACUUCCACAACCUGAUUUCAUAAGUAUGUCAUCAAUAUCACACUCAUAAUUCCAAACCCAAAAAACAUCGUACACAGGAAACCAUCGCGGUCGAUCGAAAUUAAGGCGCUAUUAAACUAAACAUAAGCUAGAUAAUUAUAUUUUUGUAAGAAUUUAACACCCACAAUCUAAACCCACAAAAAGUUUUACAGUGUACAGAGCAAAUAAUCGCUUUACUAUCCGAAUAAACCAUAUUAAUAAGUUUAAAAAAAAUAUAUUUAUUAUACCUUGUCCUUGAGAGAAAUUGCAGCUUUGAGAAAAGUCUCAGCUGGAAGUGAGAGGUUUGGAGCCGUUGGAUCACCUGCGUGGAUCAUAUCAAACAGUUCUUGAUUCCCUUCUUCAUGAUUACUUUCUUGAGAAGCAAAUUUUACCACAGAAGACGACAUUCUCUACUUGGGAAACUUUGCUCUCAGAUAUCUAUCAAAUUAAGGCCAGAAUAAUUAUGGGUUUAUGCGCGCGCACACAUAUAUAUAUAUGGGCAUUCUACAAGUACAUAGGGUGUCCCCCUAUUGGAGGGGGGCGCCGGUGGGCCAGGCGCCCCCUCCAAUAGGGGGCCGCCGGGUGUCCAUUAUGGACACCCUUAGGUAGCCCCCUAUGUACUUGUAGAAUGGCCCAAGUUUAUAUUCUAUAUAUAUACUUACAAUAAGUUUCUAGGGAACUCUUUGGAAGAAAGAGAGAGAAAAUGGAGAAAUAAAAAAAAAAAAAUCUCCUUGCACUGUGCGCGCCGUGCUGCACGGAGCUUUUGCUCUCUGUAUUUUUUUUCAUUAUUAUUUUUUUCUCCAUUUUUUUGGCAUUUUGUUAAAAUAAAUAUUUUUAUUCUCUCACCAACAAUGUACAAAAUGAACUGAGCAAAUGAAAUAUGGAAUAAGCAAACAAUCUAUAAACAAAAUGAACUUUAAUCCUAGUGCAUAUUAUCAAAAUCAGUUUGAAGGUACACUUAGGCAAUUGAUCAAAUACUUUUACAACAAUCAAUUAGAACUACAAACCAAACUACUUCAACUCACCAUUAAAGACAAAUAUUAACAAUUGAAGAGAGAAAUGCAUUGUAUGAGUUCCACAUUACACCAGUUUCAUAAAAUUAAUCAAUCACAUUACGUUGAAGCUAAAGUUGAAGCAGGCAAAUGAUGUUGCUAAAAUUUUGAUGAAUCUCUAACCGUAUGGAAAUGGAAAACUUUACAAAUUGCAAUUGUUAUGGUAGCGAAUCAGAGAAGAACUCGAUGAAUUAGGGGAUGAACCAAGGAGAGAAACCAUGCCUUCUUACACAAUCAAUAGUAGAGGAAUGGGCUAGCCGAAAAUGAUGGAGAAACUGUAUGGUUCAAGCUAGAAACAAUAAUUAAAAAAAAAAAGAAAGAAAGUACAAGACGAAAUAUAUGAUCGACGCGUGUCCCGCUAAUGCUCUGCUCUUUUAUAUAUGUAGGAUAUCAAUCGUUCAUAUUCCCAAUUUUUUUAUUUCCAUAAUUGCCCUAGAGCUAGAUGGUCAAAUGACAACAAUGCCUUGCACAUAAAUACCCAUUCACCCUAAUUCCACAAUGUGGUGGGAUGGCCCGAAAACAGUUCGUCAACCAUGUGACAGAAAAGCUAGAUAAUGCAAGUAUUUCUAUUCAAUUGUGGGCCAACAAUCAAUCUUUUAUGAAACACUUUCUACGAAGGUUCUUUGUUAGUGCAAGGUUACUACCAUUAUCACUUAGGAAUCUAUCCAAAUUCACGAUAAAGAUAAAUAUUACUGUCUCUUGAACACUUUUUAGCCUCUAAUUAGUAGGAUUAAAAUUAAAAUUUUAAUUUAAACUAAAAGUCAACAAUUAAUUUAAAUCACAUAUUUUAUGGAGUUCAUAAUUUUUCAACUACACAUUUUAUCAAUUUUUAUCAAAAUUUACUAAAAAUUUGAUUUUAAUCUCUACCGAACAGAAGCUUACCAUCAAAAUAGUUUAUUAGUGAUAACUAUAAUUUUACUUAAACGUCAAUUAUUUGAUUAACUAAACUUCAAUUUGCUUCAAUCAUUGAAAAGGCUAUAUAUUUAUUAAUAAUAUAAGCCAAUUGGAACUUAUAUCGACAUUAAAAAGGAAGACUUACUGUUGAAGUCCACGCAUACCCAUUGCCUAUUUCUUCCCAAGUCUGCCGUUGAAUUAUCUUCACAUUUCCAAACCAUUCAUCAGCAGGGAAACAAUUACAAGAACACAAGGCAGAUUGGUUUCUUCAGAGUUGGUUUUGACUUUGAGAGGUAAAACUCCAUGUCUUUCAGAAUGACUAAUUAUUAAUUUUGAAUUUUCAUACAAUUUAUUUUUCUUGGAUCAUCGUUUCCUUAUGUUAUUAAACAAAGAUUUUGAUGCGCUUAUUGUCAUCCUUUCCAAGAGUCAAGAUCUAAAUGCUAUAAUUUUAUCUUUUUCCUUUUCUGUUCUGUUACUGAUAAUAAAGAGCCUGUUUCUUCCUAAGUCUGCCUCUGAAUUAUCUUCACAUUUCUGUUCCAUUCAUCAGUUGGGAAACAAUUACAAGAACACAAGGCAGAUUGGUUUCUCUUCUCUUCCGGCUCAUCAGCUUCUUUCAGUUAAAACUCCAGUGUUAAUUUUGACUUUGAGAGGUAAAUAACACCUUGUCUUUUAGAAUAACUAAUUAUUAAUUUUGAAUUUUCAUACAAUUUAUUUUUCUUGCAUCAUACUCUGCUAAUGUUAUUAUACAAAGAUUUUGAUAUGCUUAUUGUCAUCCUUUCCUAGAGUCAAUAUCUAAAUGCUAUAAUAUUAUCUUCUUGAGUUUUAUAUAUUAUAUUAUAUUAUAUUAUAUUAUAUUAUAUUAUAUUAUAUUAUAUAGUAGAAAAUAAGUUUUCAGAAAAAAAAGAAUUUUCAGAAAUUGAGUGCUAAUUAAGUGGAAGUAAUGAUAUAUGAACAGUCAGGUGUUUCACUUCCAUAUACUUGUACAAAUGUUUCUUUGACGAGGUUUGCAACAGAUAUACAAAAAAUUCCUGGAAAGAAUUAGAAAAAUAAACAUUAAAUAUGAUUAAUUUCACGUAGAAAAGGUAAUUUACCAAAUAACCAAGCAAAAAAGUUGACGUAGCCAUAACUCUAACAAUAAAUUUUUUUCGAGUGAAAAUAAUAUAACGAGUUAUUAUAAUCCAAUCCACGUUGCCAAUCAAAUUAUCUAGAAUAGGAUUGUAUGGAGUUUGUGGAAAAUUUAGGAUUCACAAAUGUAUAAAUAAUUUAUUAUUAUUAUUUUUUUAUUUUCUGUUGAAAAAUGCAAUUUACAUUUCCUUAACAUCUCGCCAUUGAAGAGAUUUUCAUCCAGUUUAGAGAUCUAGAUUACAAUUUAAAUCUAUUUUAUAUUACGAUUGGGGAUGCUCUUAUAACUCUUUUCUAUAGUUGGAGUUUCACCCAUAAUAACAAUCUUCUAGCUACUUUAUGCUUAUGGUGGCAUUAUUCUUCCACGUCGUCUUUGCUGAGUUUGUAUUUUGCCUUCAAUUUUUCUUGUAUAACCAAUCGGUAUAAAUUAAAGUAGAUGAAGACUAUAUUCAUGAUGAGAUGAUCAACAUGCAGGAAUGACAAUUAUACGAUAAAUAGUUCAUAUUAAAAUUAUCUAAUCCUAUAUUGUUUAAACAAUUUUUAAUUAAUUGUUGAAUCGAUUUUUAAGCUUCAUCUUAUUAAGAUCAAACUCAGGGUCAACCUGCUCCAUCAGUGAAAUAAAUUUACAUUUCACAUUUCCACCGGCUUGGUUUGACAAUACAUGGUAAGAUAGCUCUCUGAUUUUCUAUCAGAUUUAUUACUAAUAAAAAUUAUUUAUAGAAGCAGGCAUAAAUAAAACGGGAAAUUGUUGAUUUAUACCAUUGAUUUAUACAAUUAAUUUAAAUCACACAUUUUAUGGAGUUCAAAAUUUUUUAACUAUACAUUUCAUCAAAUUCUAUCAAAAUUUACUACAAAUUUGAUUUUAAUCUCCACCGAGAAGGGGCUUACCAUCAAAAUAGUCUAUUAACAAUAACUAUAAUUUUACUUAAACAUCAAUUAAUUAAUUAACUAAACUUCAGUUUGCUUCAAUCAUUAACAAAAGGCCAUAUUUAUUAAUAGUAUAAGCCAAUUCAAACUUAUAUUAGCAUUAAAAAUGAAGACUUACUGUUGAAGUCCCACUCAUACCCAUCCAGGAACCUAGCCUGUUUCUUCCUAAGUCUGCCGUUGAAUUAUCUUCACAUUUCCAUUCCAUUCAUCAGCUGGGAAACAAUUACAAGAACACAAGGCAUAUUAGUUUAUCUUCUCUUCUAGCUCAUCAGCUUCUUUCAGUUAAAACUCCAGUGUUAAUUUUGACUUUCGGAAGUAAAAAACACCUUGUCUUUCAGAAUAACUAAUUAUUAAUUUUGAAUUUUCGGGCAAUUUAUUUUUCUUGCAUCAUCCUUUCCUAAUGUUAUUAUACAAAGAUUUUGAUGUGCUUAUUGUUAUCCUUUCCUAGAGUCAAAACCUAAAUGCUCUAAUUUUAUCUUCUUCCUUUUCUGUUCUUUUACUGAGGUUGGGUUUUUGUGAUUUGCUUUGGGUGUCUUAUCUGUAGGCAAUACAAUGGGUGACAUGCUAGCAAAUGUUUUGGUGAAUGUGGCGAGCGAUUAUUACAACCUUGAGAAAAAAAUGCAAAAUCUUAAGAGGAAGGUUGAACUACUCAGCUGUCAAGAAGCUGAUAUGGUUGCAAGGCUAAGAGAGGAAGAACGUCACCUAGGGAAAAGGCCAAAAAGUGUGGUCAAAUAUUGGCUGAGCGAAGUAGUAUCAAAGCAAAAAGAAUUCGAAAGCUUGGAAGCACAAGUGAACCAAAAUAGUCGUAUUUCGCGUGUGACCUUGACGAAACGUGCUGAUGAAAUGAUUGAGGAAGUGACGGGACUUCUUGAUCAAGGAAUAUUUUCUGAGGGGGUUUUACUAGAUGUUAGUGAGACAAUAGAGGAGAAAUUCGUAACUGUAGAAUGGAGAGGCCAAUCAUUUAAAGAAAAUUUGGAGACAAUUUGGAUUUCUUUAUUGGGGAAUGAGGUCUCAAGUAUUGGUGUCUAUGGUAUGGGAGGAGUUGGCAAAACAACUCUGGCACAAUGUAUCUACAAUGAGCUCAAGAAUGAAACUUCAUUCUGCAAAAAUAUAUUCUGGUUCACCGUCUCGCAAGAUUCAAACAUAUACAAGUUGCAGAAUGACAUUGGAAAGGCCCUGAAUCUAGAUCUUUCCGGUGAAGAUGAUGAGUACAAGAGGGCAGCCAAAUUGGGUUGGGCAUUGGAGAGAAAAAAGAGAUUUGUACUCGUGUUGGACGAUGUCUGGACUCCUUUUUUGUUGCAGAGGAUUGGAAUUUCUCCCUCUCUACAUGGAUUUAAGAUGAUAGUAAUUAGUCGAUCACUAGAGGUGUGUCGCAAUAUGGAAUGCCAAAACUAUCUAAAAGUGGAAGUUCUUUCGGACGAAGAAGCUUGGAAGCUAUUUAUGAACAAACUUAGUUAUGGCAAACGACUUCCACCCAAAGUGAAAAAGAUAGCAAGAGAAGUGGUAAAGAAGUGUGCUGGUUUGCCUCUUGCAAUUAUCACCAUGGCCGGAAGUUUGAGGGGAGUGGUUGACAUUCAUGACUGGAGGGAUGCCCUGGAAGAGCUGAAAGAGUCGUGUGUGGGACGAGAUGUCAUGGAAGAUGAUGUGUUUCCGAUACUAUUGUCUAGUUUUAAUCGAUUGAGGGAUCCAAUCCUAAAGCAUUGUUUCUUGUAUUGUUCCCUGUAUCCUGAAGACCAGAGUAUUGACAGACACGAAUUGAUAUCAAAUUUCAUUUCAGAGGGGCUAAUGGAAAGAAGAAGAAGCAGGCAAGCAUACUUUGACCAAGGUCACAAAAUAUUGAACAAAUUGGAGAACGUUUGUUUAUUGGAAAGAUGUGAAAUAUCUUACCCUGUAGACCAGAGUGUGAAUCUAGGUGUGAAGAUGCAUGAUCUAAUAAGAGACAUGGCUUUAAAGAUCACAAAAGAUGACUACAUGGUAAAAACUGGACUUCAGUUAAAGGAAAUUCCAGAGGAGCAGGAAUGGAAGGAAGAUUUGGUUAAGGUUUCCUUAAUGUGGAAUAGGAUAGAAGUAAUUUCGAGAGUCACAUCACCCAAGUGUCCUAAACUUUCAACCUUGCUUCUAAGGCUCAAUCCUCUGAAGUCGAUUCCAGAUUCAUUCUUUUUGCAAAUGCGAGGCCUGCAUGUUCUCAAUUUGAGUGACACUGUGAUUGAAUACUUGCCCAAUUCCAUAUCGGACUUGGAGGAACUUAAUGCAUUAUUACUCAAUGGGUGUCAGAACCUUGUGUUUGUACCACCAUUGGGCAACCUCAAGGCACUGAAAGAGCUGGACCUCAGUCAUACUGGCAUUAAGGAAAUACCCCAAGGCGUGGAAAGUUUAACCAAUCUCAAAUGCUUAGACACAAUUGGCUCACGUAUAGAAACAAUAACAACAGGAACUUUACAAGGACUGUCACUUCUUCAGCAUCUCACGCUCCCUCAACGGAUGACAAUACCAAUCGAAGAAGUUGCGGGAUUGAAACAACUAGAAGAAAUCAAAGGCAAAUUUCGUAGCAUGCAUGAUUUCAACAUAUUUAUGAAGUCUCGACCAAGAGAUGGGCAGCUCAAUAUCUAUAAUAUUCAAAUAGGUGACAGUGUGGCUUAUCUUUACAAAACAGGGUUAGCAAAAGCGAGAACUUUUGGGAUAACUUUUGGGAUAGACAGUCUUAAGAAAGGCGAAAGAGGCAAAGACAAGAUUAUGCUGCCACGAAAUAUCGAGUCCAUGGAGUUUGACCGGUGUGGCCUGUGUAGUUGCUUAUUUAAUGAUAUCCUACAAUUAAAUACUGCUACAGAAUUGAAGCACUGCUAUGUUGAAAACGAGGAUGGAAUAGAGUUCAUUGUGAGAUUGUCGCUUGAGAAGGAACCGAUGGCAGAAGAAGAAGCACAGUCUAGCUUGAUGCCACUCCAUUACCUUGAAAAUUUGACCCUUGAGAGCUUGCCGAAUUUUAUUGGUCUCAUCUGGUGGGAUGUAGUACCACCAGUUGCAUCGCUUCCACGUGGCCUUUUUUCUCACCUUCGAUUUUUGAUGAUUUGGAAUUGUGUAAAAAUCAAGAAGCUUCUCCCUCGGAGUUUGAUACCAAACCUUCAUAACCUCGAGAAGCUGAGUGUUUAUUCAUGUGCAAAAAUGGAAGAGAUAAUAGGAGAUGAUGAAAGUGAUGGAGGCUUCGGUGCAGAAAGUAGUACCGUCAUCACCCUGCCAAGGUUGAAGUUUUUGGAACUCUACAAUUUGCCAGAAUUAAAAAGCAUCUACAAGGGGACAAUAAUUUGUGAGUCCAUUAAGGUAAUUUUUAUACGAGGAAUUAAAAAAGUAAAGAAGGUGCCUUUGUUUCUGCCGCCUCUCAAUGGACAACCAUCUCCGCCUCCAUCUCUCAUAAAGAUAAGACUAUGGGAAAAUGAUAAAGGAUGGUGGGAAUCACUGGAGUGGGACCAGCCCAAUGCCUACAGUGUUCUUCACCCCUUUGUUGAUUAUUUGUCAAUUUAGGCUAAAGCCUAACCUUUCCCCCCUCUUUAUGCCCCUGAAUUAUAUCCGUACUUGAUAGGCGCAUUUAAACAAGUUAUGUGUCCUUAUAUUUUAAAGAAUCCAUCAUUUACUCCCUUUUUGAUUUUGCUCAAAAUCAAAUUUUUAGUAGAUUUGAAUAGAAGUUGAUAAAUAUUUGAUUGAUAACAUUAUGAAUUUCAUGAAAUAAGUAAUUAAAAAUGAGUUCAACUAAAAAUGAUUUUUUUUUUUUUUUUCCAAAAAAAUAGAGCACUUAAUGUCAUCUAUAAUACCAUCUAUGUCGUCAUCUAAACUGGUAGUAAGUAGAGCUAAGUUACAUUAUCAAAGAAAAACCAAAUCAUGUUUCGACAAUAUAUGCAUGUAUAUAUUACAUGUAAGUUUCAAUGGACAACUUCUUGGUUCCCUUCACAACGUUAAAAAAAGUGCAACUUAACUGAACAAUAGACAAGCUUGAAAUUAAUCUAUAUAUAUAUACUGAAAAGAGAGUCAAUUUAUACUAAAAAAAUCCAUCAGCAAGUGACUUUCUUAGGCUACUGAUAGAGAACGUGAGAAAACCAUUGCCAUAAUCAGUAAAUUACAAUGGAAAUAAGAAAAUCAUCCAAGAAUGAAGAAUCUCAACCACUCCAGAAUGGUUGCUGCCACUUCCUUCUGUUCUCCACCAUUAAAUCAUCCCAGAAUCAUCAUCUUAACAAUAAGGACAAAAAGCAGUCCACAAUCAGAAUCAUCUUUCAGAAAUAUUAUAAGAACAAAAUCCAUCCAUGAUAAAUAACAAUCAUCAGUUAUUGCAUGCUGUUAGUAUUCAUCAAACAAAUAAGUAAAAAUGUAUAAACUAAUUCAGACUGAGAAUGUGCAAAAAUGAUCUUUCAUAAUCAUAAAUGGAGGGAAGCCCCAUGAACUUCCAUAGUUCCAUGCUUAAAAACAAACAUAACUGGCACGACAAGCAACAAGAACAUCAGAUAUUAAAGUUUGAAAUAAGCCAUUCAAAAAUGGCUAAAACAACCACGGAACAGACACUGUAGAGACGACACCAAAGACCACACAUCACCACCUGCAAAUCAAAAACCACCACGGAGGACAAGAUGGAGGGUAGACUCCAUUUGGAUGUUGUAGUCGGCCAGGGUCCUUCCAUCCUCCAGCUAUUUCCCAGCAAAGAUUAAUCGCUGCUGGUCUGGUGGAAUACCCUCUUUGUCCUGAAUCUUAGCCUUCACAUUGUCAAUGGUGUCAGAACUCUCCACUUCCAAAGUGAUAGUCUUUCCCGUCAAAGCCUUGACAAAAAUUUGAAUCCAUCCCCUCAACCUAAGUACCAAGUGCAGAGUAGACUCUUUCUGGAUGUUGUAGUCUGCGAAGGUACGGCCAUCCUCAAGUUGCUUCCCAAUGAAGAUAAGCCUCUGUUGGUCGGGUGGAAUACCCUCCUUAUUCUUAUGUUGUCAAUGGUAUCGAGCUUUCCACUUCGAGGGGUGAUAGUCUUGCCAGUCAAGGUUUUCACGAAAAUCUGCAUCUCUAAAGUUAAAACAAGAAACAAGACCCUAUCAAAAUUUAUCUAGUUAUGUUCUAAAAAUAAAAUUAAAUAGUACAAAAUUUUUUAUCACUAACAUAUAAAAUUAUUGACAAAAAUUGCAAAUCGAACCACAAAAAUGACAGAUACAGAGCCAAAAUCAUUGGAAUUAGGAUAUAAUAAACAACAUUUAGAAACCUCCACAGAAGAAUUUAUCCGAUUCGUCUAAAAACAAAGAAAAUCAGACAGUGAAUCACAUAAUUUCUCAAUCCAAUAAAUAUAAGCCAAAUAAUUAUCAAAACGGGGAACUCUCUUAACAACAAAUUAUAUGCAGGACCAAAACACAAGAUUUAGGGGGAAGCCAACAGAUCGCAAGGAGACUUGAGCAUAGAAUUCUGGAAUGUAACAAAAUACUUCUUGAGAGAGUUGAUACAUGAUUAAACAGAUCCAAUAUCAAUGAAAGAUCAUCAACACUCCCCUAGAAUUUUCUUUCAACAAUAGGAAUAAAUUAUAAAAUCGAUCUACACAUCAGGUCACAAAACUAUGGCGCAAGAGCAGAUAGAUCUAUCGUAAAAUUUAAAAUAGAAAAUUAUUGCGAAUUCAGAAUUAAAUUCAAAAGAAGAAAGAGAAGGCUCAAAUACCUUGAAAGGAAAAUUUGAGAACGGUUUGCAGUAAGCGGUGUGCCGUAGAGACUGAGAGACACCAAAUUAAUUUGUUUUUUGUUACUAUUUAUGAAGGAAAGCUCCCCAAGUUUUUUAGAUAAUAUAGUUUUCAGUUCUGAACUUUAGAAUUUGAUAUUAUAGUUUCUUUAGUCUAUUUAAAUGUAUAAACUGUCAAAGUGUACGGUAAAAUUGUAUGUAAUUUACGUGACUUAAUUUUGGAUAUCAAGUUAUUUUUUACAAUUUUCAUCUCUAAUUUUAAGUCAUGUCGAGGUUGUUUGCAUUUUUGACAUCUAUUUGAUUUAGUUUAAAAAAUAAAUCGAUAACAACUUAUUUUACAAUAAACCAUUAAUUUUAUUUACACAUUUCAUUAAUUUCUAUUCAAGACUUAAAAACUCACUUUUCAAAGUUGGGGGCAAUGAAAUAUGUUAAUCAAAAUGUUAGGGGACUAAAUCAUAAAUUUCUCUAAAUGAAAGUUGAUUUAAUGCUACCUGUCUUGUGAACUCAUGUGUUUAAUAUUCUUGAUUUGAAAAUUAAAAGUUAUUAAUCUUAAAAUAUUUGUUGCUAGAAUGAGAGUUAAUUACCAAAUAGUCACUGAAAUUUGUCAAAAAUUUUCAGGUCACUGAACUUCAAAACUUCCCUAAAUAGUCACUGAACUUUGCCAAAAGUUCCCAAAAGAUAACUGAAUUUUAAAACUUCCCUCAAUAGUUUCUGAACUUUGUAAAAAGUUCUUAGAGGGUCACUCAAUUUUGCAAAUUGGGGUCCCAUACAUCACUGAUUUAGUGACCUCUUAGGAACUUUUUGCAAUGUUCAGUGAUUGUUUAAGGAAGUUUUGAAGUUCGGCGACCUCCUGAGAAUUUUUGACAAAGUUUAGUGACAAUAUGGGGAAUUAACUUCCAGAAUGAUCUUGAGAAUAGCAUGAUUUUAAUAAUCAAAGCACAAAGAAUUGACCGUAAAAAUAACUUUUUCAUGAGAAAUAGAUGGCAAAUUUAUAGUUUAGUGAACACAAAAUUUUAGUUGUUUAAUGUAUUUUCGAUGAGAAAUAAUUGAGAGACUUUUGAAUGUCUAUUUGGCAUUUACGUAUUAGAAGUAUUUUCACUCAUAUUAAUUUACCUAUAAAAAAUACAAUUGUCACAAUUGAACAAUAUAAUGACUUGUCAUUGAAGCAGACCACGUGAUCGUCAAACAAAUAAAUGAGCAGUUUCAGUUCAUGACUCCAAUCACAAGUUUUUCAAGCUAUUUGGAAUUCCCUCAAUUAUAGCAUGCAAGCAUUUAGCCUCUUUUUGAUAAACUAUUGCCUCAAAUAACAAACUUAUGCAUCAAAUAAACAUAAGAUGGCUAAUGUAGUCGUUGACUAUAAAUAACAUUACUAUUUACAAAGUUUGUACAAGUAUUGGGGGUCAAAAAUUUUAAAAAGGUCACUCGUGCAUAUCGUUAAGGAUAUUAGGCCUCUUUUGUUUUGUAUUAAAAUUCAAUUAAAAUGCGAAGUAAAAGUCAACAUUUAAUUUUAAUCGCAUAUAUCGUGGAUCCCAUAGCUUUUCAAUCAUGUAUUACAUCAAUUUUUAUCAAAAUCUACUAAAAAUUAAAUUUUAGAUCUCCUCCAAACAAGGUAUAGAUGUAAUUACUUUGUUCAAACUAUUCAAAAUAUAAUUAGCAAUUCAUGCACAUUAUCUCCAACAAAUUGUAUCUUCUUUUUUAACUCAAUCAUGGUCCUUAAAUCAUACAUGCAAAAACGUCUGGAGGAAAAAAAGUGAAGUUCUGGAUGAUGAGCACUUGACUGGCCAUUGCUAAUGUUCUUCCCCGUCUUGACUCACGUCAUCUUCAUCAAUGAGUAAAUCCUCACUAUAAUCGUCUUCCUACUUCAUUAUCCCUGCCGUAGGAUUGAAGGGGCGGCACUUUGGGAACUCACAUUUGUACUUAAAUGGAAAUUUUAUUUUUUAUAUUUUUUCUAAAUUGAGAGAUUGUUUAUGUGUGAUAGCAACUCAUUUAAUUAAUACAACUUACGUGGAACUUAGUGCUUCGUCUCAUUCAUUUUCAUUGACGUAUAUGAUAACGAGGAUGAACAUUUGACAACUUUCUUAUUAGGGUGGUGAAAAAUAAAAUAAAAAGAGUCUUUGCUACCUCUUCUGAGAAAGAUUAAGAUUAAAGGAUAGACAAAAUUAAUGAACGGUUAAGAAAAUUCACGAUCUAUGUUAACAAUUCCCACCCAACUUACCCAAUGUAAAUUCAAGAGAUCAAGCUUACGUAAUAAUUUUUACACGAUAAAAUAUAAUAAUUUAAAUGUCCAUAUAGUUAGAAAAAAUUAAAGUUAAAAUACAGGGGACCGUCUUUUAAAUUUCUAUAAUAAAAAUUGGGUGGUGGUGGUGGGGUGGAGACGGGGACGACAGUGAGAUGGUGUGAUGAUGGCGGUUGUGGGAUGCUAGAAGUUUUAGAGGUUGCAGGUUGCGAUUGUGGUGUGAUAGUUGUAGGUUGUUUUUUCUUCUUCAUCGGUGUGAUGAUCUGAGUGGUGUUUGUUGUGAUGGUUUUAUGGGGUUGGUGGUGGUUUGAUCUGGCUGGCAAAAGACAUGACACAUGGGCAAUUUUGGGUUUUUUUUUUUGUGUUUUGGAAAUAUAGCCGGUAGUUGUGAGGCGGAUGCGCUGGUGAUGGUGGUGGUAGUGUUAAUGGUGGCGACAACGGUGGUGUGGUGGUUUCAGGUUGUGGUGGUGCAGUAUGAAAGUGUUUGUGACCAACUAUUUGGGGGUUCGUGACCAACUAUCGAGAACUGGUGGUGGUGGUGGUGCUUUUGGCGACGAAAGUGGUGGUAGUGCUACUGGAGAUAGUAGUGAGAUCGUGGUCACAAGUUUCGGUGAUGGUCACAAAUUAUUUGGUUGACUGUGACUAUUAAAUUGAUUAAUUCGUGACCAAUAAAUAAUAUUUGACUAAUAAAAAAUAUAAAUUUUGACUAAAAAAUAGCGUGUGACAUAAAAAAUUAUUAAUCUAUGAUCAAUAAUUUGAUAAUUUGUGACUGUAUAAUAAGUUAUGACUUAUAAUAUUUGUGAUUUGUGANNNNNNNNNNNNNNNNNNNNNNNNNNNNNNNNNNNNNNNNNNNNNNNNNNNNNNNNNNNNNNNNNNNNNNNNNNNNNNNNNNNNNNNNNNNNNNNNNNNNNNNNNNNNNNNNNNNNNNNNNNNNNNNNNNNNNNNNNNNNNNNNNNNNNNNNNNNCCACCACAUAAUUUGACAAAUAUAUACGUCUUACAGUCGUAUGAAUGAUAUCAUAAAUAAUUACUACAAGUCAUUAUCCGACAAUUAUUUUUCAACCUUCAAAUGCUUGAAAAGCUCUACAAAAUGCCAUUGGCAUUAUUUAUUUAUUAAUUGAACAAUGCUAUAGUACAGAAAUUUGUUUAGAGAAAUUAUAGAGAUGAACGCUUGACAAAUUAUCAUUGGAAGAUGAAAAAUACAAAACAAAAGUGGCCAUAUAGGUGCUAUCAACGCAGCAUUUGUACAAAUUUUUUUUUCGGUAUUUGCAGAAAAAUUCUUAUUAUUUUUGUUUUUAAUUUGAUAAAAUUCAUUUUUUUAAAAUGUGUUUUAAAUUGUUUCAAUUGAAACUCAUUUGCAUGAAAAAUUUAAGACUUGCUGCAAUUAUUCUUUAUAUUUUUAUUUUUUUUAUUUAAAAACAUGAUAUAUUCAUCAUUUUAUGAUGUUCCCAACAUUUGCUUGACCUGAGCUGAAUUGUGUUAAAUUGCACUAAAGGCAUGGUGGUGGUUAUGCUAGAGGGAAUGAAUAAAAGUCAUGAGACACUAUAAUCAAGAUUCUGGAGAUAUAUCGGUCAAAAUGUCAUUAUCCUGAUGCUGAAAAAAAGGUGUACUAUCUAUAAAAAAAUUAAUGAAACAUGAGAAAUCAAAUCUUAGCCUAGGAAAAUGAACAAAUUAAUGUACAUUGUAGAAUUAGCCACAGAUGUAAACCCUCAAAUUCAAUCUAUUCCGAGUUCAAUAACAAAAAAAAUCUAUUCAAGAGAAUUAUACAGCACAUUAUUAGCAAGUUUUUAAUUCUUGAACCAAGUCAAUAUCUUCUGUUAAUGAUAAAAAUUAGAUAAACAAAUCCUCUCACUUAGUCAGGAUUUCACCUCCUAAUUUCACUAGUUUUAAUGCCAAACGACAGCUAACAAUGAAAUGACUAUUUGGGAUUGAGAUAUUUGAAUUGCAUCUAUCACUCUUCAAAUUAUAAAAUAUCUAUAUAUUUUCCUUCAAGUUUUGUAGAAAUAUGCAUAUUUUGGGGGGAAUGAUAGAUAGAUGGCGACACCUUGGGAUUGAGAUAUUUGAAUUGCAUCUAUCACUCAUCAAAUUAGGAAGCAUCUAUAUAUUUACUUUUAAGAUUUUGAGUAAUAUGUAUAUUUUGGGAGAAUGACAGAUGCCGACACCUUAUUGAUUACUUAGUAAUAGAUUCUAACCCAAUUAUAUCUCACUGAAUCAUGUGUAAACUAUUAUAUAUAUGUAGUACAAUUGUACUAAAAAAUAUUUAGGAAAUGAAAAGGAAUAUAUUUUAAAAAAUUAAAACUACUAAGAAACAGUGGCAAUUAUGGCAGGGGUGUCAAUUUCACUCAUCGACUUGGGCCGUCCAUAGCUCAGCCCGAAAAAUACCAAAGCCAGUCCAACCCAAGGCUCGAUUUUACCGAGCUGAGGCUUGGGGGCUCGUUAGCCCAUUUUUGUCCCGUGACAAGUCGACCUUAAAAAAAUAAAAUGAAGCUACAAGUAGCAUAAGUAGCUGCCUGUACUUUAUUAUAAAAAAAUAAAAUAAAAAGCAUACGAGUCGACUUGGCUCGAUAAGAAUCUAGUUGAAACUAAAUUUUUUAGCCCAGCAAAAGGUCGACUUGAUUUGAGCCAAAAAAAUUUCGAACUAUUUUUACUUGAGUAGAGCCCGACCCUUAAAUUUCGACUCUCGAGCCGAUUCAAGUCAACUCAUUGAUUUAUAGUAUGGUACCUGAAAGCAAGUGGUAGUUAUGCCGGAGGGAGUGUACUAUAGGACACUAUUAAUCAAGAUUUAUCAGUUGAAGUGUCGUUAUCUUCAUGCUAAAAUAAGAGUGUAUAUACUAAUAACAUGAGAAGUCAAAUCUUGGCUUAUGAAAACGGACAAAUUAAUGUACACCAUAGAAUUAACUACGGAUGUAAACACUACCCUAGUUCAAUAGAAAAAAUAUAUAUCGAAGAGAGAUUGUACAGCACAUAAAUGAUUGUAGAUUAAUGUUCAAAUCUAUCAUUUUUGCAUCCAUGUAGUUCAAAAGGCAGAUGGAUGGACUUUGUUCAUUGACCAUUAGUUAACAAAAAAAUCAAUUUGACGACAUCUUGAUCAAAUUUAAAAGGGCAAAAUUGUCAUUUUGUACUUCCUCAAUAAAAUAAUUUUAAAAAGGAAAAAGUAAAAGACAAUUUUAACUGUUCAUCUCCUCCACCAAACCCUCAUGCCCAAACCACCCCACUCACCCCAACCAAAUGAAAACCAACUCACCGCCGCUGCCUACGCCCACCGACAUCUGUAUUUGUAAAUCUGAUUCGUGUAUAUUCAAUUUAAAAUUUUAUAUCUAUUAUCGUCAAAAGUGCUAAUGGAUUUUAUGAAUUUGGAAGUGCAACCAUCACAUUGCAAAUCAGCCUUCAAAACAGCAGUAAUAUUAUCAUUUCUUCCAUUGUCUUUCUUCUUGUUAUUAUCAUUUUCGUACUUCUGCUAUGCUUAAUUGUUCUCUUGUUCUUCUGCAAAACCCACAAACAAAAAGUCAUAAAAAACCAAAGACUCAAAAAAUUAAAAGGGAAAAAUUAGAACAAACACCAAGAGAAGCCCGUGAUAAAUUUGUUGUCUGUGGACCUUCGCAUGAUGAGUAAUCAUGUACUCAAAUGAGAGGAUUUCCCUUUUAGAUUUUUGCUCAUUUGUUAUAGAUUACAAAUGCAGAUGUCGGAGGACAGAUUUCUGGCCAUAGCAGCGGCGGCGGGGGGUGAGUUUUGAUUUGGUUGUGGGGUGUGGGUAGGGUGAAGGAGAUGAAUAGUUAAAAUUCAUUUUUUGCUUUUUAUUUAAUUAUUUAAUUAUUGUGUCCUCUAGAAUUUGGUCAAUAUGUGGUCAGACUAGAAUUUUCUCUUUCUUUCCUCCUUUUUUUUUUAACUAAUGGUCCAUGGAUGGAAUCUGUCCAUUUAUCAUCCCGAUACAGUAGAGGUGAAUGAUUUGGAACUCUGAGUGCAAAAAUAAAAUGUUUGAAUGUAGUCUACAAUAAUUUGAAAGAUUUGAAAUCUCAUUUGCAAUUCUCUCUUUUGAAUUCUUGAACCAAGUCAAUAUCUUCCUUUAGUUGGGGUGAUUUUUGAUAAACAUAGAAAAAAGGUUGCAAUAAAGCAAUUAGAGCCACCAAAUUAUAAAGUUCUAAUGAAAUUGUAAAAGAAGAAAAUAAAUUGAACACAAGGAGGAUACUUAUCACUAUUAUUGAAAUAAAAUGUUGUAAUCUGAUAGUUUUAAAUUGCAUUUACUAAUAUGUAUUCCAUUCAUUAGCUUGUUGUCCCAACUCCUUCGCUCGUGUGAUUCUCUAAUCUACGCUAAAAGUUUGUGGCUAAACAAGUAAGAAAAUAAUUUAGAUUUCAAGAUAUAAUAAUCACCUAAAACAACUUCUAGCUCAAAAGAAAAUUUUACAAAUAAAUUUUGAGCUCUAAUAGUCCAUGCCAACUGCUUCGGGCACAGGUUGCAGUUUCAGAGUUGAAGACGAUGCCAUGUGAGACUUGAGAGUGACAUAAGAGUAUAAUAACUUCUUCUCCUUCGACAAGCCUCUCACAAUUCCUAGGACUUUCCUCACUUCAUUUGUCGGUUCUAUGACAGAUUCAUCUUCAUGACCUAUUUAUUUAUACAUACAAAAUGAGAAAUCGAACAUGGUUCCUCUAGUUGAGCAAGAAAAAAAAUCAAUGAAUCAAGUACUCAAAGCUAAUAGUAAAUGUAAUGAAACUUGUCAAUGUCAAACAUGGCCUUCUCCAACAAGAAAAUGUAAUCUCUGUCGUUACAGCAGGGACAAUUGGCGGUUGCUAUUUGCCUAGAUUAAACACACACAAGAAAUUAGAAUUUCAUGGGAUUAAACAUAAUUACAAAGGAGAAACAUAGAAAGGAUGAGGAUUUAUAUAGAGGAACUAUUUGUAAACCCAAUUUUACCACCUGAUACACAGAAUGUAGAGGUGUCAAGAUUUCAUAAACUGCUUUAACUUCAUUUUUUGUCCACAAUCAAUGAAAUCUUACCACCUCUGCAUUUUGCCACUGUUUCAAAGGGAUUAAAAUCAUAUUUUAAGUAAAUUUUAAUAGAAAUUGAUGAAAUGUUGUUUGAAAAAUUGGGGAACCCAUAAAAUAUGUAAUUGAAAUAAAUUAUUGACUUUGACUUAAAUUAAAAGUUAAUCAAUACCAAACGAAAGUCUGUAAACCAGAUGGUAAAUCUGGGUGUACAUGUAGUUCCUCAACUUUCCAUGUGCUUCAGAGGGGCAGGACCUAGAUAGUACUUGUUCGAAACUUUGUCUUGAGUUGAUGUGAGCCAGCAAUGCUGAAACCCCAUCCUUUUGAGCAAUUUUGGACAAAUGACCAAUUGAUAUUUCAUUGAAAUUUUGAGUCAGAUGAACACAAAUAUGAAGAAAGCACUAAAACUAGUUACACUAUUAUUCUAGUUAAGAAGGGCUUCUGCUCAGAGUCUCCUUCCUUCAUUGAAGAGGAGAACUUCAAUCAAUACAUAAUCUAAAACCAAGAAAAACCUCAUUAUUAGCAAGUGACAAACAAGAUAUCGAAAACAUAAAAGACCUUGUUCCAAAUACUACAAGAAAACGGUCAUAACAAAAAUUAGUUUUGGAACAAUUUAUAAUCAAGAAUGGAUUUGAAUUUUAUUUUCCCUCGGAAUACCUCCAUUGCCACCUUUUCCUUUUCAGCUUCUCCUUGCAUGCAGUAAGCAGCACCCCACUGGAAAAGACAUACAAAGCAAAAAAAAAUGUGAUUCAAGUAAACUCCAAAUUUGCAUAACUAGGAAAAAAGGAUUUUGAAUCCUAUUAAAAUGGUAAAAAUUAAUAACAUUCAUCACUACUUACGCAGACAGCUCCAUCAUAUUGCUCCAAGGUGCAAAUUCUUGCAGGGUGCUGAGGAAUACCUCUAUGAUCCAUGCAAGCUACAAGAAAUAAAAGAAAAUAUGAGCCCUCUUCAAGAAGACCUAAAUCUUAUCCGUUAUUAGUUAAAGAACCCUCUAGUCAAAACGUUUUGCCCUUGAUUAAGUCCCAUUUUUUGUUGGGAACACUUCAACAGCAAGGGGUUCGAGAAGAAAUAGCCAUAGAAAUAAUAUGAAGAUGAUGAAAAUAACGUGAAGAACCAAAACGAAUUUGAAGGUUCAAACACGACAUUAUAUCGCUGUCCUCAAACGAUAUUUACCCCCUCGGAUACAAUUUUUUGGUGCAUAAAGGGUUGCCCGGCAAAUGGUUUGUAGGAGUAAUCAAUCCUUGUCACAGAAAAACACAAAAGCACAAACGUUUUUUUAUCCGAACUCGAAGAACACGAGGAAAACUUGAAUAUGGAGGGAAGGAAGUUUUUAAUCCUUUAUGUGGAAUAAUGUAUAUGUUUUUCACAUGUUUGUAAUAUAAUUUCAAUGUCCAUCAAUCACUUAGUUAUAAUCAUGGAACAUUCCUACACGAAGUGGUGCCAAAGACAAGUGAAAAGCCGCUAAAUUUUGAAUUAAACCCACCACCAAUGGCUACUAUACCGCAUAAAGCAAUUCUAUGCGACCAUAUAGGCAUUUCGGAAGCAGGGCCUUAGGUCCUGCAACCAUCAAUGUGACCGCACUUUGUGGUCGCAUAGAUAAAAUUGUGGCCCUCAAUUAUCAUUUUUAUUCCACAGGCUUCUUCAUUGAUUUUGAACAAUAUUUCUAACAAUCCCUCACUUGUUCAAAAUUUAAUGAAGUCUCAUAUUCAAAGUAUACAAUACUCAUGCAGAAAAAUUAGAUAUCUUUUGAUUUUAAAUUUGACCAUACUGUAAUUCAAACAAAGUAAAGUUAGAAUCAAAUGUAGCAUGAAGUUUUGAACUAAUUGUUCCAUAUGACAAUACCGAUAAGAACAGACACGAGUAUUAUGGGUUCUCAAGUUCUUCAAACUCACGUAGCACUAAUAUGGCCUUGCACUUAUCAUUUUCAACAAACUUUUAAGAGAGAAUCUUCAACUCUAUAUUGAGGCGGCACCACCUCGAACUUUAUCUAGGUGAAGUUCUCCCAGUUUCUUUGCUACUUUUAAAGAUAUUUGUGUUUUAACACUGAACUUCAUUAAGAGUUUUAAGCUCAACCCUCACUUCAGUAACAACUAGUAUUAUUUAAUUAGAAUAGGGUUAUCAAGGAUUUGAAUAAUGGUGCAACUAUCUGCAUAUUAAAUGAUUUGUUGUUACCCUUUGAACACGUAGAUUACCUUUUGAGUAAUGACAGGUAAGGUUUCCGUCAUUGGUGGACUUUUUUAGUUUAGGAGUUUCAAUCCCAUCUUAUUCGAAGUAGACACCACAAAAUCUCUAUUUAGUGGUUUAGUCAAAGGAUCCACUAAAUUCUCAAAUGACUUUACAUAAUUUAGAAAAAUUAUUCCAUCCUUAAUUAACUUCCUUAUAUAGAUAUGUCUAAGAUUGAUAUAUCUUGUUCCUAAUUCACCGACAAUCAAACCAAUUGGAUGCAAAUGGGUAUUUCGAGUGAAACGACAUCCUGAUGGAUCCAUUGAUCGUUAUAAAGCCCGAUUGAUGGCUAAAGGAUUUCAUCAAAGACCUGGCCUUGAUUACAAGGAGACUUUUUCACCAGUCGUCAAACUUGCGACAAUCUGGAUUGUUCUCACCAUUACCCUCUCUCGUGGUUGGGCACUUCGCUAAUUGGAUGUUAAUAAUGCCUUUCUCCAUGGUACACUUGAUGAAGAUGUCUAUAUGGUUCAACCCACUGGCUUCAUAGACUCUGACAAGCCAAAUUAUGUCUGUAAACUUCGCCAAUCUCUCUAUGGGCCAAAAAAGCCCCAAGGGCUUGGUACACCACCCUCAGUGGCUAUCUCCAAAAAUUGGGGUUCCAUUAGUCAAAAUCAGAUUCUUCCUUAUUCAUUUAUACUCGUGAUGAUAUUGUGGUUCAUUUUCUUGUUUAUGUUGAUGAUCUUAUAUUGACAGGCAAUUCGACAGACUUCAAUGAGUUCAUCAUUCAAUCCUUGGGUUCCAAAUUUUCGAUUAAAGAUUUGGGCCAGUUACAUUACUUCCUGGGCGUUGAGGUAUUGCCUGUCAGUAAUGGGUUGUUCUUAAGCCAACAAAAAUAUGUGCGAGAUCUCUUUCACAGAACAAAUUUAGAAGGAGCAAAUCCAGUUUGUACCCCGAUGGCUACCACUGCUCAUCUCCACCUUGAUGAUGGCUACCAGCCAGCGAUGGUACUGAGUUCCAUCGAGUAAUUGGGAGUCUUCAAUAUCUCUCCCUCACACGGCCAUAUAUUACCUUUGUUGUCAAUCGUUUAGCCCAAUUCAUGCAUCGACCAAUAGAGCAACAUUGGAAUGCUGUCAACCGACUCCUACUUUAUCUCAAACAAACGGUGCACCAUGGUCUCCUACUCUCCAAGGAUGAUGGAAAUGCACUUACUGCUUAUUCUGAUGCCGAUUGGGCUGGUAAUGCUGAUGAUUGUACCUCCACAUCUGCUUUUGUCAUUUUCUACGGGAAUAAUCCUAUCUCGUGGUGUACACGAAAGCAAUGUGCAGUUGCACGUUCCUCAACUGAGGCAGAAUAUCGUGCUCUUGCAACAGCUACUUCUGAAAUCGCUUGGCUCAUAUCUCUCUUUCAAGAACUGGGCAUUCAUUUUACAAAGCCUCCUAAACUUCUCUGUGAUAAUGCUGGUGCAACUCAUUUAAGUGUCAACCCCGUGCAUCACUCUCGGAUGAAACACCUUGCUAUUGAUUUACACUUUGUACAAGAUUAUGUCAACAAAGGCCUUCUUGAGGUUUCUCAUGUCUCAACCAAUGAUCAACUAGCUAACUUGCUGACAAAGUCUCUUCCUCGCUCUCGAUUUCAGCUACUAAGAUCCAAGAUUGGAAUCUCUGACGGGGAUUCCAUCUUGCGGGAGUGUAAUAGUGCACCAGUCACUCUAAUCAAAGAUCAUAAUUCCAGCAGUCAAGAGAAAUAUUCUCCAAGCAAAUUUCAUGAGUUAAGCACACGGUUUACAUGAUUCAAGCACAUCUAUCGCAUAAAUCAUGCAUCCUCUUUGUAUAGCUCAUUUUACUUUAUAUAUCAUCAUUCCUAAACUGUAUAAAUACCUUAGCCAGUUUGUAUUUUAAGGGUGUGAGACAAUAAUAUAUUCAAAAAACUUUUAGAAGAUAAUUUGACUAGUCAUCCGCUCAAAAAUAUUAAUUUUGAGGGGUUCUUUUUGGGAAAACUAUAAAAACAGAAACUAGUGAUAUGUCUGAAAGACGGAUAAUAUCCUAUUGAUGAAAAUUGGCUCAUAGUUAGGGUUUUCUCCCCCAUCUUCUUUCUGUGCUCAUCAAUAUCAAACAUGUUAUCUAGUGAACGCUUGGUCCUCAAUUAUGCAAAUCAAUCACUUAAUUCUCAAUAUCCACAUAUGCAACACUAAAAAAUAUGUGAACUUGUUAGUUUUCUAGUUGAACUUUUCAAGGAAACAUUUUUUUCCAAAUAAUGAUGAGGUUUUGAAAGAAAAGUUGAGUUAGUACUUUACCAAACAUUUCUAGUUGAAUUUUGGUGGAAAAUUGCUUGCAAAAUUAUACUUCGAGAAUUUGUACACGCAUGUGUAUAUUCAUCUUUAAAAGCGAAUCCAAAGAAAAAAUUUAUGCAAGGGUUAGAGCACGUCUGUCACGUGGCAUAGUUUCACUUUCUUUAAGAAUAGAUUGUCACAUAAAUUAAGUCUUGUUUGGUGAAUAUUAAAAUUAAUCCCCUGCCCCUAUUAAUUUUGAUUCCAUUAUAUUUCAUUUUUCUCUAUCCUAUUUUCAACCACACAAUCUUUCAUAAAAUAUUAUUAUACGUAAAUCGAAAACUUUUUCUUUUUUUCAACCACUCAUUUUUUUAAGAAAAAAACAACAUUCCACCCAUUUUCAUUUCUACAAAAGGGGGGGGGGGGGGCUAAAUUUUUUAUAAAUUUUAAUAAAGUUGAUAAAAUAUGUGGUUUGAAAGUUGUGAGAUCCAAAAUUUUUAUAUGGUUAAAAUUAAUUUUUGACUUUAAAUUGAAAUUAAAAUCUAAGUAGUCAUGUGAUCAUUUGUUACUUUUUUUGUCAUAAAAGAAAUAAAACUUAAUUUUGUAAUUAUCUGAUUUUUUCUGAACAAAAAAUUUCUUCUUUAUAUUAACAUAUAUAUUAAUAGUUAUGAUCUCAAGUGAAUCUUACUAUCUGAUGUUUGUCUGUUCCGUACAAGAUUAUGUCAAGUAAAAUACAGAAAUCCAUAUUUACCUUUUAGCCCCAUUACAUUAUUUAGUGUUAUAAUUUUUGGAAUAGUGUUUUUAUGAAAAAUGUGUGAUUGAAAAAUAAAGAUUUUUUUUUGUUUACGUCUAAUAUUAUCUUAUGAAAGAUUGAAUGAUUGAAAAUAAGAGAGAAAAAUUAUAAUGUGAAAUAAUGGGAGUCAAAUGGGGACUAAAUUUCUUUGACGCGUAUAUAACAUCGAGUGUAAAUGUGGAAGGUAUAAUUUUUUUGCAUGGCCGUGCUUCAAAAGAUGUAGAAUCCAUUUAUUGACACUUGCAGAAAAAAUCUCGUAAAAAGUAAUUUUUGAAAAAUUUCAAAUACAUUGGCUAAAAAUUACUUAAAAGCAAAGUAACUUUGAAGACAGUUAGGGGGUGUAUUCAAUUGAGAUUUUUAAAGACUUUUGGAGACUUUUUUAAGUGGGUUACUUUUGUGGACUUUGUGAAAUUUUAAGAUAUUUUUAUGGAUUUGGUAGGAAUUAGUAAAAGUUUUUCCUGGAUUUAUGGAGACUUUUACUAAAGACUUUUAAAAACUUUUGAGGAAUUUUUUUUUUAAAGGAAAUAUGCUUUUCAUAGUGUUAAAUGUGAGAUAUUGAGGAAUAUUUAUGAGAAUUCACAACAUUCACUUAAAAAUGAAUCUUUGAAAUUAGAGGGAGAGAUAGAGAUCAACUAGUGAAAAUUUACCAUAACCUGAUUUGAAGAAAACUCAUAGCAAAGAUUCAAAGAAAUACCUAAUUGGAAGAGAUAGAGGAAAAACCUAGAGGGAAAUAAGAAUAGCAUACUCUUUUUAGAAAUCUCUCUAUGGAUGAGAGAUUUUGGGAGAAAAAUCCUAUUUAUAUUUUCUAUUAAAAAGUCUCUGAAAGUCCAAGAAAUUUUAAAUUUCCCGAAAGUCCCUCUAAAUUGAAUACCCCAAAACUUGUAGAGACUUUUAAAAAAUUUCAAUUGAAUACCCCAUAACUUCUGGAGAUUUUUUAAAAGUCUAUAAAAGUCUCUAUUGAAUACUCCCAAACUUUUAGAGAGUCUCUAAAAGUUUCAAUUGAAUACACCCAAACUUUUUAAAUCUCUAAAAGUUUUUAAAAGUCUCGAUUAAAUACACCCCCCUUAGUGUGAUAUAAAGAAGAACCGUGCUAGAUUGUCUAGAUUAACUAUAUAAAGAAUGCUAGCUUUUUGGGCUUUUGAACAUUGAACAUGAGAUGUCCUUUCGAGGUGAGUUUUUUUUUUUUUAAUCAAACAUUUCUGUAGGAGGAAAAGUUGUUAGCACUUUGAUCAAAUUUUUCAUGAUAUUAACAUUUUUCCUUUUUGUUGGUUGAUUUGUUGCUCGAGAAUGAGAACGAAAAUAAGAUAACUGCUUCGGGGUGCAAUAAAUAUCUAGGUCACAUGAUACGAUAUGAUACAAACAUGGACAAGUCAGUCCAUAAUUUUUCAAAAAAGUAUCAAUACAAUACGUCACUUACACACUAGUUAAAAUACUAUUAAUCUCUUUUAUUAUUUUACUUUUAUAAUUGUAAAAUAUAUAUUUUUUUAAUUCGAGGUUGUGGACGACAUGUUCAAAUGUUCAAAACUAAAAACAAAUUGGACAUGUCACUGUUGACCUCGCAAAUUGGACCCUCCACGUGGCCAAUUGAUAGUUACUCCACGUAUUCCUCCUUACGCACUGUUAACGUACGGUCAGAUGCACACAGCCGGAACCAACGGGGUGGUGACAGUCGCAUACACUCCGAUGGUCAAGUUAGCCUCAGGUGAUUAGAACAAUACCAAUGUUGUGCAAAAUAGUGGGGAGGAGAAUAUAUAUUUGCUUGUUAUGGAAAGCUAUGUUAUAAGAGUUUCAUUACCUUUGCCUCUUGUCAAACUUUGGGUAUUUAUAGAUGAGGAGAACCGUUGGAUGUGGGACACGUGUAUGCAUCUGGCGGUGUGAGGCGUCUGCUCAUAAGCGUCAAUCAGUCGCGUCUAUAGAGUGGACAGAUAAUUACUUCUUCUGAUUUGAGUUGACAUAAAGUUGAGAUGUCACAUCAACAGGCUCAUGGAGACGUCAAAUCAAUUAAACCUUAGGGGCAGAAAGGAUCCCGACAUAGAUCUCUUUCUGAAAUUGGCAACGGAUCCUGGCAGAGGUCGCGAGGACGCUUUGGUUGAUUCAACAUAAUUGUCUAUGCCUCACAGUGUGUUAGCAGAUCGACAACAUUGGUGGUGAAGUCACUUCUAAACCACUUCGGAUGGGUGCUGAACACGUCAUAAUAGGCAAAGGUAGACUCUCCGAAGUGGUUCGGAUAGGGGCGUAACAGUGGUCCCCCCAAGUUUAGGCAUGAAUAUUUAUAUCAUGGGUAGACUUAUUUUCCCGAUCGGGUAUGUUUGCCUCAGGAUAGGAACCUCGAUUUGUAAGAGCAUGCGGGUUGAUUUUUCGUUUUUACCAAAGAGAUGUAGGCCGGGAAAUAUUUUUGACAGAUGCGAUAAAGCUUUAUCAUUGACUAAGGAAAGAACUUAUUUGUAAUCGAUGUGCUGGCCUAUAGGACGAUGCGAUGGGAGGCAACCAAAGCUUCGUAAAGCUUAGGGGGGAACGCAGCCACCGAAGCUAUGACCCACAUGGGACUCUACAUUAGGUGUGUCUAAACUCUGCAAAGCUGAGUGAGGAGCUCAUCUACCACCGGUGCGCUGACCCACAGGGACGACACAUUGGGAGAUGGCUAAAGCUUUGUGAAGCUUAGGAGAAAAUGCAGUUACCGAGGCGAUGAUCCACAGGGGACUCCGCGUCAGAUGCGUCUAAGCUUUGUGAAGCUGAGCAAGGAGCUCAUCUGCCACCGGUGUGCUGACCCACAGGAGACGACGCAUUGGGAGAUGGCUAAAGCUUUGUAAAGCUUAGGAGGAAAUGCAGCUACCGAGACGAUGACCCACAGGGGACUCCGCUUCAGGUGCUUCUAAGCUUUGUAAAGCCGAGUGAGGAGCUCUUUGCCACCGGUGCGCUGACCCACAGGGGACGACGCAUUAGGAGAUGGCUAAAGCUUUGCAAAGUUUAGGAGGGAAUGCAGCUAUCGAGGCAAUGACUCACACGACACGUUGGGAGAUGGCUAAAGCUUUGUAAAGCUUAGGAGGGAACGCAGCUACCGAGACGAUGACCCACAGGGGACUCCAUGUCAGGUGUGUCUAAGCUUUGUAAAGCUGAGUGAGGAGCUCAUCUGUCACUGGUGCGCUGACCCACAGGGGACGACAGGUUGGGAGAUUACGAAAGCUUUGUAAAGCUUAGGAGGGAACAUAGCUACCGAGUUGAUGACCCACAGGGGACUCCGCGUCAGGUGCAUCUAAGCUUUGUAAAGUUGAGUGAGAAGCUCAUCUGCCACCGAUGCGCAGACCCACAGGGGACGACGUGAUGGGAGAUGCCUAAAGCUUUGUAAAGUUUAGGAGGGAACGCAACUACCGAGGUGAUAACCCACAGGGGACUCCGCGUCAGGUGCGUCUAAGCUUUGUAAAGAUGAGUAUGCGCUGACCCACAGGAGAUGACGCGUUGGGAGAUGGCUAAAGUUUUGCAAAGCUUAGGAGGGAACGCAGCUACCGAGGCGAUGGCCCACAAGGAAUUCGCUUCAGGUGCGUCUAAGGUUUGUAAAACUAAGUGAGGAGCUCAUCUGCCAUCGGUGCACUGACCCACAGGGGACGACGCGUUGGGAGAUGGCUAAAGCUUUGUAAAGCUUAGGAGAGAACUCAACUACCGAGGUGAUGUCCCACAGGGGACUCUACGUCAGGUGUGUCUAAACUUUGUAAAGCUUAGUGAAGAGCUCAUCUGCCACCGGUGCGCUGACCCAUAGGGGACGACGCAUUGGGAGAUGGCUAAAGUUUUGUAAAGCUUAGGAGGGAACGCAGCUAUCGAGACGAUGACCCACAGGGGACUCCGCAUCAAGUGCGUCUAAGCUUUGCAAAGUUGAGUGAAUAGCUCGAUCCGAGGAUGGCAUCUCUGAUGUUAAAUGAUUUGACAGCUAUCGCGUGUUUUCAAGGCGACAAUUGGGUGGGAUGCCCAUUCCCAGAAAAGGCUGCUAUGGUUACUUAUUAUAGACGGCUGAUGGUGACUGAGGCAAUGCGUUUCGCAUGAGCGUGAAGGUCACAGCUUGAUUUUAGGCGUAGAUCAAAUCUGGCAUUUCAUUUCAACGGCCUAGAUUGAUGAUGUCACGGACGGCCUAGAUUGAUUGCAUUUGAAUUCAAUGGUGGAGAUUAGCUGGGACGCUCUACAAAAGGCAGACUUGAGCGUUUUUGGAGCUUUUCACUUUUGCGAAAUCAAAAACCCCAUUUUCUCUCAAAAUCUUUCCAUUUUUCGGCAUUCUUCAAGUACUUUUCGACGAGAAAUCCCAGUUUUCAGCGACUUACGUUGUUCUUUGACCAUUUUCGACUGUGGGACACUCCAUUUCGAAAGUUUCAGUAAGUAUUUAAAACUUUUCAUUUCUGAAAAUGGCUUCUGAGGGUAGUGGUAGCUCAGGAAGGGGGUUGGAACUAGUGAGGAUGGACGAGCCCAUUUUGGCGGCCUCCUCUGAAAUAGCCAAGCGAUUAAUGGGGUGAGAAUAUAUGGAAGAGGCCAGAUAGCCCAAUAGACACAUUUGUGCAUUGGAGGGCGUUGGAUUGCCCCUUAAAGCUAAAGGGUGUUGACUUGGAAAGAUUUAGGGCUGAAUAUAGGAUCUCAGAUAGUGUAGAUCUGAUCCUACCUGAACCUGAUGAGCGGGCCUGCUAUCCUAGGUCAGGGUGCAUGGCAAUCAGCGAGGCGAUCUUUAGGGCUGGCCUUAGGCUCCCAAUCCACCCUUUCUUCCGUAUGGUACUUAGGUCAUACAGCUUAGCUCUUACCCAAUUGAACCCGAACUUCUGGAGCCAAAUGGUGGGCUCCUGGAAAUUGUGGAAGGAGGCGUCGCUUGGGGUAGAGAUGCCUUUUUCUGUAUUCCAGACCCUCUACAUUCUCGAGGUAGCGGAUGGGGGAUAGGACCAGGGGCUGGUACUACUUAACCUCAUGGGGUUCCCACACUACAUUCAUGCUUGAUUUGUCGAGCUCCAUUAAGGAGUGGAAGAGCUCGUGGUGCUAGGCUGCGGGGAGAUGGGACAUGAUGGAGAGAGACCCCUUGGUGCCUCUUACGGUCCCCACGAAGUAUUCAACACUUAGUGAGUAUUGUAGCUUUGUGUUUCUUAUUUAUUCUUCUUCGGUUCGGUUCUUAACUACUCUGUUUAUUUUUUAAGGCGCUCUUCCUCAGUUUGAUUUAGCCACCGACAACUUCGACAUCAUCUGCAUCAUUUACCAGCUGCCUACAAAGAGGAGAUCAUACCACCAGCUGAUCAGAAAAAAUAACCACUUCGUGACGCAUGACUUGAUGUCCUCUCAAGGUAAAUGUCCCGAAGCAAAUAUCUUUCAGCACUUUCCGAACUGUUUACACUUGUACUAAAGUACUUGUUCCCUUGUAGAUAACUUUAACAAGAAGCUACCUCUGAGGCCAGACUUCAAAACCAUCCAAAAGAUGAUGGAAGAGGCGGGAGCCCUGAAGACCUCCUUCUCUGCGUACAAAAAGCAGAUGGAGGAUCUGGUGGAUGCCAGUAAAAGGCUCCAGCCUCCGAUCGAGGAGGAGGUGGUGGAGGACCCGGACGUAAACCUGCUGUGGAAGGGCAAGAAGCCUGCUGCCCCCUCGAAACACCCAACUGUAGCGAGGCUGCCUCCGGUUCUAAGGCAGACUACAAUUCUUACCAGGGUGGUCAUCCCGGAGAAGAUGCUUGCGCCAUCAGAGGCUUCUUCUGCCCCGACCACAUCGCUAGUAGUUGUUGUGCCCAUUGCCCAAGUACCGGGGCAGCCAAAGAGGAAAAGGGCCCGUUCCUCGAAGGAGGUGGACUUCUUGGGCACCAAUUCAGAGGAGCCUGAAGAUUUUAGAGAGGAAAACUCUAAUUUUAAUUCACUUAUUUGCAAAGAAAUAAACUGGGAUGUUUAUAGGAAAUCCCUGACUACAAGCUGUCACUAGAUCUCCUUAAUUUUAGCUACAGUUGGAACAAAUGGAGAGAAUCACUCUUUUAUUUAAAUAGAAAAACAAAUCGACAUAAAAUUAGAAACUGAUUAGGAACAAAUUCUAGAAUUCCAUACUCCCCCUCAAGCUGGGGAAUAGAUGUCAAUCAUUCCCAGCUUGGAUGUAAAUUCUUCAAACUUUAUUCUUGGAAGGGCUUUUGUCAGAAUGUCAGCAACCUGAAGAUGUGUAGAGAUGUAGACCAAGUUUAGUAUCCCUUCUUCUACUUUUUCUUUAAUGAAGUGACAGUCUAAUUCUACAUGCUUAGUCCUAUCAUGAUGAACGGGAUUAUUAGCAAUACUGAUUGCUGCUAAAUUGUCACAGAGUACCUUUAUUGGCUCUUUUGUUGAGAUUUUUAACUCGUCUAGUAAUCUCUUUUAGCCAUAUUCCUUCACAUAUACUCUGAGCUAAUGCCCUAAAUUUUGCUUCGGCACUACUCUUUGCAACAACAGAUUGCUUCUUGCGACGCUAAGUGAUCAAGUUACCCCAUACAUAAGUGCAAUAACCUGUGGUUGAUCUCCUGUCUGUAAUGGAACCUGCCCAAUCUGCAUCUGAGUAGACUUCAACUUCCUUACUCCUUCCUUUUUGAAAGAAAAGUCCUCUACCAGGAGUCAUUUUCAAGUAUCGAAGGAUUCGAUAAACUGCUUCAAGAUGUUCUUCAUUGGGUUUGUUCAUGAAUUGGCUUACAAUACUAACUGGAAAACCUAUGUCAGGUCUUAUGUGAGAUAGAUAGAUGAGUUUUCCUACAAGUCGUUGAUAUCUUCCUUUGUUAACUGGAGGACUUUCUUCCUUGAACCCAAUUUUAUAAUUUGAUUCCAUAGGAGUGUCAGCGGGCUUGCAUCCUAACAUUCCAGUUUCUUUCAAUAGAUCCAAGAUGUACUUACGUUGGGAAACAACUAUUCCUUUCUUUGAACGUGCCACCUCCAUGCCUAGAAAGUAUUUAAGUUUUCCUAGGUCUUUGAUGUCAGAUUCUUUAGCAAAGACCUCCUUUAAACAGUUUAUUCCUUCUAUAUAAUCUCCUGUCAUAAUAAUGUCAUCUACAUAGACGACGAGGAUGGAAAUCUUCCCACUAGAAGAGAAUUUUGUGAACAAGGUAUGAUCGGCUUGUCCCUGAGAAUACCCAUACUUUUUUACUGCUUUUGAGAACUUGUCAAACCACGCUCUAGGAGAUUGCUUGAGACCAUACAAUGAUUUUUGAAGCUUGUAAACCUUGUUAACAUUAUUUUCUGUCUCAAAGCCGGGUGGAAUUUUCAUGUACACUUCAUCUUCCAAAUUGCCAUUGAGAAAAGCAUUUUUUACGUCCAAUUGAUGGAGGGGCCAAUCUAGAUUAACUGCCAAAGAUAGUAAUACCCGUACAAUAUUGAGUUUGGCAACAUGAGCAAAAGUCUCUUGGUAGUCUAUGCCAUAUGUUUGAGUGAAACCUUUAGCAACAAGCCUUGCUUUGUAUCGAUUUAUACUUCCAUCUGGAUUAUACUUGAGAGUAAAAAUCCACUUGCAUCCCACUGGUUGUUUCCUUUCUGGUAAAUUUGAAAAUUCCCAAGUUCCAUUUCUUUUUAAAGCAUUGAUUUCUUCUCCAAUGGCAGCCUUCCAUUCUGGUUUCCCUAGAGCAUCAUGAACACUGUGUUGUAUUUUUACAUUGGAUAGAUCAGUGACAAAUGCUCGAUAUUCUAGUGAUAAACCAUCAUAAGAUACAAAAUUGCAGAUAGGAUGCUGAGUACAUGAUCUCACACCUUUCCUUAUUGCAAUAGGAACAUAAAGAUCAUUAUUGACAGUAAUAUCAGUUGCAGUUUCAGUUUCAUAAGAAAUAUUACCUGGACUAUUUGGAACCAGAUUGGAUUCAUGGUUUUCCAUAGGAAGUGUGUGGGUCUCUAUCUCCUUUUUGGGUCUUUUAAUCCUUGAAUAAACACGUAGCUCUUUGUCAAUUGCAGGUUUAGAAUGGAUUGGGAUGACAAACUCAUGGCUACUAGGCAAAUUUUGUUCUAUUUCCGAAGGAAUGAAGUUGGUGAUUGGCUCGACUUCUGAUGGGAUGGAGGUGUUUGAUCUGACUUCUAAUGGAAUGGAGGUAUUGGGCUCAACUUCAGAUGGACAGGCGUUUGGUCUAAUUUCUGAUGGAAUGGAGGUAAUGGGCUCAGCUUUAGAUAGAGAGGUGUCUAUAUCAAACAAAAAAUUACAUUCUUGUACAGAUGAGUUCUCUCCCUGAAUGUGAAUUUUUAGGUAAUAUGAUUGGUUUUCAAAAAAGGUGACAUCCAUAGAAGUAUAAAAUUUUCUAGUGAUGGGUGAAUAACAUUUGUAGCCUUUUUUAGUGGGAGGGUAACCAAGAAAAAUACAUUUGAUGGCUUUCGGGUCAAGUUUGCUUCGGUGUUGCUCAUGAAUAUGUACAAAUGCUUGACAACCAAAUAUUUUUAAUGGUAUGGAUGAAGUAAUUCAUGAAUCUGGAUAGGAAAGAAGAAGGUUUUGCCAAGGUGUUUGGAAGUUUAGAACUCUUGAUGGCAUUCUAUUAAUGAGAUAUGUGGCUGUGAGGGUCACUUCUCCCCAAAAUUGUUUAGGGACAUUUGUAGUGAACAUAAUAGAUCUAACCACUUUCAGAAUAUGUCUAUUUUUCCUUUUUGCUAACCCAUUUUGUUGGGGUGUGUCGACACAUGAGCUUUGAUGAAUUAUCCCAUUCCUAUCAAGAUACUCGCCAAGUAUAAAAUUGAAAUAGUCUUUGGCAUUAUCGGUUCUAAACACUUUUCUAUUUUGACAUUGCAAUCUUCAACUGGUUUUUGACAGUUCUCCCCAUCAGCUAAGAAGAAAUACAUUUAAACAAAUUGCUCAUGCUCACAUAAUUUUAGUGUGAUUGCUAAUCUAUGGCCCUGGUUUUUUAAAUUUCCUGCUUAAAAAUCUUGUCAAAUCUUUGUGAAAGACUGCUACCACUGGGUCCUAUUGGAUCAUAGUGUUAGGUUGGAUGCCCCAAAUUAGGAAUGGGAUUCUCGAAGAUUACGUAAUUCGUUCUUGGAUAUUGGAAGGUAUCAAUUUGAACUUGGAAAGGAAUCAAUUGCAUCCAAAAUUAAGGAAAUAAAAGUUGGGUACCGGAUCUUUUCCUUUUUUACGUGUUUUUUUUUUUACUUAAUUUCCAUAUUUUGCGUAGUUUUAGGGUUUGACUCGUGUAUAUAAAUAUGUGGCUCCUCUUUUCAGUUUAAUUUAAGCCAAAUUGCUGUGUCGUUGUAUUCUCUCCACAUUGUCAAUUAAUAAUACAUCUUGCCUCUAUGUUUAACUCUCUUUUCUUCUUUACUCUAAACCUUGAUAUAUAUUAUUAAAUUGUUGCAAUCCAUAUUAACUUCAUAUCGCGUCAUUAACUUCAUUCUUUACGACUCAUCGAUCCCAACAAGUGGUAUCAGAGCAUGGGUCUUCUGUGAAUUGAUUGAAAUUUUUCAGAGAUGGCUGCCAUGAAGUUUGAUAUUCCGUUGCUGGAUUGCAAUACAAGGUUUUCGUUGUAGCAAGUAAAGAUGAGGGCUAUUUUGGCGCAGUUGGAUUUGGACAAUAUGUUGCUAGGUUUUGAGAAGAUGCCAGCUAAUUGGAUGACGGAGGAGAAACGAUGGAAGGAUCAGAAGGCUUUGUCAUUGAUUUAUCUUCAUCUAUCCAAUAAUAUUCUGUAAGAUAUAUUGAAGGAGAAAACGACUGCUGCUUUGUGGUUGAAACUAGAGCAGUUGUGCAUGACCAAGAGUCUUACUAGCAAACUGGCUCUAAAGCAGAAGUUGUAUUCCCAUCGCAUGGCAGAAAGAGGGUCGUUGCUGUGUUCAAGGAAAUUGGCACAGAUUUGGAGACGUUGGAGGUUAAAUAUGAUGAAGAUGAUCUGGCCUUGAUCUUGUUCUGUUCGUUGUCGGACUCUUAUGCGUCAUUUCGGGACACCAUAUUGUACAGUUGGGAUACGUUGACUAUAGACAAUGUCUAUGAUGCAUUGCACUCAAAGGAGAAGCUGAAACAUCUGGUUGGAGCUACAUCAAGUGAUGGGAAAGCUCUUGUAUCUCAUGGUGGUCAGAGGGGCAAAUUUAGGGAGAGUAGCAAUGUGUAUUGCUUCUACUGCAAACGGAGAGAACACUUGAAGAAGGAUUGUGAGAAGUUGCAGGCUAAGGGUGAUUUAGCUGCAAAUCAUAGGGGGCAAUCAUGGAAUUCGGACGAGACUAAUGUGACCGAGGAUUUUUCGGAUGGCGGAGAUAUGAUGUUGACUGUGGUCUCUGACGUGAAAUCUAAGCCUGACGAGGAAUGGAUUCCUGAUUCGGCAUGUUCGCACCAUAUAUGUUCCGAUAGGAAUUUAUUUCAGACAUAUGAGACUGUUCAGCAAGGUGGAGUUGUAAUACGGAACAAUGAGUCUUGCCGUAUUGCUGGAAUCGUUGAGUCAGAUUGCGGUUGCAGGAUGGAACGGUCAGAACACUUGGCCAAGUUCGACAUGUUCCAGAUCUAAAGUGGAAUCUCAUGAUAUAGUCCAAGAGUCGAGCCCGAAGAAGACGAGUGCGAGACGAGAUUUGUUGAUAAUCGAUGGAGGACCAAUGACGCGAUCAAGGACAAAGCAAGUGAAACAAGCGAUGGGAUUGCUCGUUCAAGAAACCAUUGAUGGAACCAUGUUCGGGACUCAAAAUGGAGCAACUUUCAUGUUUGGGUCGAAGGCCGAAUCAACUUGGAUCAAUUUGUUAUCAAGCGACGAAACCGAAGGCUGAAAACAAGCAUGUGCGACCACACAUGCAAAAACACCAUGCGGCCGCAUGGUGGCAUACCGAAACUCAAGAAGACAUUUUUGUUGAACCAUGCGACCGUAUGGAAAUACACCAUGUGGUUGCACAAGCUUUUUUUUUGGCGAAUUUCAUAUUUUUGGUAUUUUUCCAUAUUUUGUUAGUUUUGAUUAUUUUCCAUAUUUUGAGGAUUAUGCUCGACUUUUGCACGAUUUUUACCUAGUUUUUAGGUUUAGUAUAAAUAGGAGUUUUCAUUCAAUUGUUAAAAACCUUUGACAUUAUUGAUAUUGAAUUAAAGUGAGGCGUAUUGUCUUCUCUUCAUCGUUCUUCAUUGAACAACUUCGAACUUAUCAAGUGUUAACUUGUGGCGUUCAAACAAUCGGAUUUAAUUUUUGGAUUGCGUGAUCAAGGGGUCAUUCAAGCGUCGUCUUGUUGGGUUUUUUGGUUCGACUUUCUUUUAGGUUAAUCCUAAACUCUUGGAUUAAUUUGACUUUCUUGGGUUCGUCAAUCUCGUUUUGUGGGUUUCAUAGUCAACGUUGCUACGGGGUUCACAUCAGUUGGUAUUAGAGCUUUGGCUCCAAAUUAAUUGAAGGUUAUAUCUUUUAUUUAUUUGUUAGAGUCGUUAAUUUGUUUUCUUAGUUUCUUCUUAUAUUUUAAUUGUUCGUCUUCGUUCUUGUUGUUUUUCUUUUCCUCGUUUCGUUGAGUUGUUGGUAAUUUAAUCAUCUUCUUUCAUCAAGAAGUAAAAAAAAAAAAAUUAUUAUUAUUGUUUGAUUUUGUUUUUUUUACCAACAACAAUUCCUACAUUGUGUUUGACUUUGGGAUAUUCAAUUGGGUUCGACUUCUUCAAUCUUCUAUUGAGUCUAUUCACAUAUUCUUGUCAAAACAUUCAUCUAUUCCACUUAUUCAAGUCCUUUGAGUCUCGUGGUCUUCGAUUAAUAUUUGGUUUGUUUGAAUUCCCGGCAAAAGAAUUGGUUUAGUUCACUUGGUUCUUUGAAGUGCUUGGAGGGAGACUUUAAGUGUUAAAAGGCUGAAUGGUGAGUUUAAUAGAGGGAAAAGCCAUAGUGAGUGUUUUCCAAGUGAAAUGUUUGUGAGGCAUAAAAAAAAUUGUGUGAUAUGAUGUCGGAAAGAGAAGGUUCUAAUUCAAGCCGAAAUGGUAAUAACAACAAUGCUUCGGAGGACAUGAUAUAGAGGUUUGAACAGGUACUUGGUGAUGUUAGGGAGAAGGUGGAUGGGCAAUGGAAAUGGAUGGUGCAAAUAGGUACUGCAAUUGCUAAUCUUAGCCGGGGGCAAGUGGAGAUGUCUAAUGCUAGGGGACCGGGUAGGCGUGAGUAUCGUAGUGAUGAGGAUGAUUUUGAUGAAAAUGACAUUGAUAUUGAUCGAGCGAGGCAUAGGGGCGAUAGGAUGGAAAGACGGGGUAGGAAUAACUUCAGAGAUGAAGUAGAUGGAAAUUUGGGGAGUAUUAAAAUGACUAUUCCGCAAUUUAAGGGGAGAAGCGAUUCAGAAGCAUAUUUAGAGUGGGAAAGGAAGGUUGAGAUGAUUUUUGAGUGCUAUAAUUAUUCGGAGGAGAAAAAGGUAAAAUUGGCGGUACUUGAAUUUGUGGAUUACGCGAUGUCUUGGUGGGAUCAAGUACUUACAUCACGGCGUAGGGGUCGGGAAAGGCCAAUUAGCACUUGGGAUGAGUUGAAGACGUUGAUGAGGAGGAGGUUUGUUCUGAGUCACUAUUAUAAGGAAAUCUAUCAAAAAUCGCAAGGUUUGUACCAAGGAUCGAAAAGCGUAGAGGAUUAUCACAAGAAGAUGGAAAUUCUUAUGAUUCGGGCUAAUGUGGAGGAAGAUCGGGAAGCUACAAUGGCACGGUUCUUGAAUGGGUUAAAUAGGGAUAUCGCAAACAUUGUAGAGUUGCAACACUAUGUGGAAAUCAAUGACAUGUUACAUGUGGCAAUAAAGGUCAAGAGGCAAUUGAAGAGGAAGGGGACGUCUAGGCAACCGUUAGGUACUUCGACUCCUAAUCCAACAUGGAAAUCGAAGUGGGAUAACAACAACAAAAAUGGGGCUGCACCUAGAGGUAAAAAUGAUUGGCAAAAGGGCAAGGAUGAAAACCCUAGCAAACCAAAAUCAAAACCUGAGGCACAACCGUCGCGUAAUCGGGAUAUCAAAUGUUUUAGGUGUUUGGGAACGGGGCAUAUUGCUUCUCAAUGCCCAAACAAACGGGCAAUGAUGUUGUGGGAUAAUGGAGAGAUUGUGAGCGAUAGUGAUCGUGAGAUUGAUGACAUGCCAGCGUUGGAGGAUGUUAGUGAAGAAGAAAAAGUUGAAGGGCCAGUUGGGAAUCUACUAGUCACAAGGCGAGCUCUCACUACUCACGUCAAAGCGGAUGACUUGGAGUUGCAAUGGGAGAACAUUUUCCACACUCGAUGCCACGUCAAACAAUACGGUAUGUAGUGUUAUAAUUAAUGAUGGUAGUUGCACUAAUGUAGCUAGCGUAUCUCUUGUAGAAAAAUUGGGUUUAACAUUGUUGAGACACACGAGACCUUAUAAAUUGCAAUGGUUGAAUGAGAGUGGCGAGGUGAGGGUGAAUCGAAGGGUGUUACUUAACUUGUCAAUUGGGAGUUAUAAGGACAAGUUAGUGUGUGAUGUGGUGCCAAUGCAAGUGGGAUAUAUUUUAUUGGGACGACCAUGGCAAUAUGAUAUGAAGGCUAUGCAUGAUGGGUACAAAAAUCAAUAUAGUUUCAUUAAUGAUGGAAGGACCAUUAUUCUUGUGUCAUUAACACCGGCGCAAGUCUAUGAGGACCAAUUAAAAUUGAGAAGUGAGGAAGAGAGGAGAGCAAAAGAAUUAGAAAAAAUGAGAGCAAAUAGUGAGUUGGAGAAAAAGAGAGAAAAUGUUGAGAUAGCCAUUAGAGAGAAAAAGAGAGAGCAAUCACAAAAGAGAAAAGAAAGAGAGUUGAAGUGUCGUUUUCUUCGUGCUGGAAAAAAAAAUUUAAUGCAACUCGAGAUAUCAAAUCUUGUCUUAUGAAAAUGGACAAAUUAAUGUACACCAUAGAAUUAAACUACAAAUGUAAACCACUACCCUAGUUAAAUACAAAAAUAUCUAUCCAAGAGAGAUUGUACAGCUCAUAAAUUAUUAGAUACUAUACUCAAAAUUUUCAUUUCUGCAUCAACAGUUUCAAAUCUUUCAGCUCCAUUGCAAUGGAUUCCGUCCACUGACCAUUAGUCAAUAAAAAAAAAUAAAUCAAUUUGACUAUAUUUUGAUCAAAAUUUCAAAGGGCAAAAUUGUUAUUUUGUAUUUUCUCAAUAAAAUCAUUUAAGGAAAGGAAAAAGUAAAAAGGAAUUUUGACUAUUCAUCUCCUCAACCAAACCGCCCAUGCCCUACGGUAUUCCACUCACCUCGACCAAAUCAAAACCCACCCACCGCCGCUGUGUACGACCACCGACAUAUGCAUCUGUAAUUCUGUUUCGUGUAGAUUCAAUUUAUAAAAAAAUUGAGGUUUGAGAAGAAAAAAUGUUAUAUCUGUUACUGUUAAAAGAGCUAAUGGAUUUUACGAAUUUGGAAGUGCAACCAUCCAAUGCAAAUCAGCCUUCAAAAUAACAGUAAUAUUUAUAAUUCCCUCCAUUGUCUUUCUUCUUGUUAUUAUCAUUUUCAUACUUCGGAUACACUUAAUUGUUUUCUUGUUCUUCUGCGAAACUCACGAACAAAAAAUCAUCAAAAACCAAUGACUCAAAAAAUUAAAGGGGAAAAUUAAGAACAAACACCAAGAGAAGCUUGUGAUAAAUUUGUUGUGUGAGGACCUUCGCGUGAUGAGUAGUCAUGUAUUCAAAAGAGUGGAUUUGCCUUCUAGUUUUUUGCUUAUUUGUUAUAGAUUGCAAAUGCAAAUGUCUGGCCGUGGGCGGCGAUUUUGGGGUAGGGGUUGGGGGAAGGUUUGGGGAGGGAGAUGAAUGGUUAAUAAUCAUUUUUACUCUUUAUUAUUUUUUUGUUUAAUUUUAAAAUUUUUUUAUUGAGAAAAUAUAAAAUUACAAUUUUGCCACUUAAAAUUUGGUUAAAUUGUGGUCAAAUUGAUUUUUUUGAUUGACUACUGGUCAGUGGAAAGAAUUCAUCCAUUUGUCCUUUAGUUGCAAUUAUUGGACUGUAGAUGCAAAAAUGAAAUAUUUGAAUAUAGUCUGAGUCGUAGGUUUUCGAUGGUGGGUGCAAAAAUGAAAUAUUUGAAUAUAGUCUACAGCAAUUUUAAAGAUUUGAAAUCCAACUGCAAUUUUGCCUUUUGAAUUCUUGAAUCAAGUCAAUAUCUUCUAUUACCUAGGUUGAUUUUUUAUUGAACAUAGAAAAAAAGGUAGCAAGCAGUCAAGCAAUUAGAGCAGGAAAAUUAUAAAGUUCUAAUGAAAUUGUAAAAGAAGAAAAUAAAUUGAACACGAGGAUGAUAAUCUUUGUUAUUGAAAUAAAAUGUUGUAAUCCAAUAAGUCUAAAUUGUAUUCACUGAUGUGAAUUCCAUACAUAGGCUUAUCAUCCCAACUCCUUUGCUCUUGUGAUUCUCUAAUCUACACUAGAAGUCAGUCAACUAAACAAGUAGAGAAUAAUAUAUCUACUUCUAAGAGAUAAUAAUCGCGAGCUUGAAUUGCAAUUGGUGGUCGGUCGUAGAGGACUCGAAGCAAGUGCCAAAUAUGAGAGGCGGGAGCAGGCUCAAUCGUUUGUCGUUUCCUUUCCCAAAUCAUCUGCAGUUUUGCCGAUUGUGAUUAUUACUUUCCAAUCGAACGUUCGCCGACAGGAUGGACUCAGCGAAUGAUUUUUCACCACUUCGUUGCUGGGUUUUCCUUCAGUGUUCGUUGAAACGUUGGCAUGAAUGAGUUAGGGAUGGGGUUUUCAAUCGUCAGGUAAGUGGAUUUUCCUUCAACGUUGAAUGGGAGGUUUUGGGUUUGUCAAUUUUUGGGCAUAUGAAAAUUUCUUAUUUUGAGGUGAUUAGAGGUCAGAUUUUUAUCAUUUUGGUGCAACUUUUCUAUUUUUUGUACAACUUCUUUAUGUAGUCAGAUCAAUAACGUGUAGGGUAUUUAAAUUCUAUAGAGCGGCAAAAUGUCCAAAAAAAAUAAAAAUGACAAUCUUGCAAAGAUUUUUAAAAAGUGACAUUUUUGUAAAUGUAAAACCAAAAAUUGACAUUUGGUGCAAUUUCCUCUUAAUAAAUAAAUAAAGAAGUAUAUUGAUUCUUUUCUUCUAUUUUCUCUCUAUUUUAUAAUAUUUUAUAAAUUGUAAUGAAUAUUAUAGACUAUGGUUAAAAAGGCAUCAUAAUUGUUAAAUCCUCAUAAAUUUUAUGAAAGCAUCUCCACGCUUUAGUGGAUUCCUACAAAAAAUUACCACAUAUUCUCUCAAAUAAAAAAUGAAAGGACAUCUAUCAAGUUGAUGUAGCAAAGAAAAGGACAUCUCUCAAAUAUGCUCGCUAAUUAAAUUAAUUGAUUAAUAUGAUUAAUUAAUUAUUUAAUUGUUCCGAUCCAUAUGUCUAAAAGAGUUUGGACGAUCUUAAUUACUAGAAACUUGAAACGUGUUUGCAUAUAAUAUUAGACAGUAUACAGACAUAUAUUUAUGUGAUGAGUGUAUUAUUAGUGGACGAUUAUGGACUCGACCAUGUGGAUGUGUUGAAUGGUUAAUUAUAUUCUUAUCGUUUUGUGAGCCUGUGAGUUCUUAAUUGUUUUGAAUCUGCAAGUUCGUUAUUAUUGUGGGCUUGCGAGCCCUUAAUCAUUUUGGAUCUGCGGGUCCAUUCUUAUUAUGGGCCUGCGAGUCCAAUUAUAUUUAGGACUAGGACUGCGUGCCAACUAGAAUAUGAUACAAGUUGCAACUAGACUAAUUGAAGAAACAAGAAAAGGAGGAGACUAUGGAGAUGGUGCAUUGAUAUUAAAUUAAUACUAUACCCCCAGGAAUUGACCAACUAGUCUUCCUUAUGGCUCGGGAAGACUUGAAAAUAAAUGUUCAUAAUCGUCCACACUAUUAUUAUUAUAUAUGUUUAUUUGUAUGGUAGAUGUGUAAUACAACAUAUAUGAUUGUUAUGAUGAGACUUUUGAAUGCGAAACUCCUCAAUAAAAUAUUAAGUCACAUUUAUAAUCGUCUUUCCAUCACUAUAGUGAAAAAUUAGAGUUCCAAGGGUUGUCUAUUAGGGAUAUGUUUAACAUAUGAAAUAUUUGAUAUUUUUGAAUGACGGGUUUGACUUAACUAAAAUUUAUCUUUUGUUGAGUACACUCAAUGAGAUAAAUUUAAGAGGCAUAUUAAGCUAACACAUAAGAUGUGUAAAGACAAAGAGUUGUCAACUUAAUGAUUUGGGAGUUGUAUGGAUAUACAAUUGAUAAUAGUAUCUGUUCAAAUGUUUUAUUAAAGUUUGUUGAGUACACUCAAGGUUUUAACAUAACAGAUGGAAUCCCAGCCAACUGGGAGUCAAGUAUGGACUCCAUAAAUUUAUGUAAGAGGGUAAUAAAUUUUAGUUAAAUAGUGGGAGCAUAAUUAAAUUUAAUAAAAGUCCAUGUUAAAUUAAUUGAUGUAUUUUAUAAAUUAUUAUUUUCUCUUCGUCAUUUAUAUUUAUCAUGAGUAACCAUGUGUAUUUGAGUGGCAUACUGGAUGUCAACAACCAAAUUAAAGUUUCUUGAUUAGCACCACAACUUGAGAAUUGUUCUUAGGUAUGAGAAAAUUGGUUACGUCCUUGAGUAGGCCUUUCCAGAGACACCUACUGAUGACUCGAUUGAGGAAGAGGUGUCUACUGUAAUAAAUACAGUGAUAACGAUAGUACUGCACACAUGUGAUGCUUGCAACUAUGUCGCAUGAAUUACAAAAGCAACUUAAGAGUGUAGAUAUUAACACAUAAUUAUUCAUUUCAAAGAGUUGUACGAUAAUAAUCAUGUGUGGAAGGAUAUGAGACUUCCAAACAGCUAUAUCAGUACAAAAUGAAAAAGAAAUCUUCGAUUGGUGCUCAUGCACUGAAGAUGAUUAUCAUUGAGAGGUUUUCUCAAUGAGGUUCAGUCAUGAACUACAAACUAAGUAUUGACUUAGCUCUAUAAUUUCUGUCAGAGAUCUAUUCAUACUAAUUAUAUUAAUUACGACAUGAAUAAGUUCGAAUGCACACCCAUUGAGUUGCUUAACAUGCUUAGAACUGUGAUGCCCAAUAUCAAAGUUAGAACUGGGCAAGCCAUUUAUUCCUCUAAGGAUAUUAAGAGGAAGUCUAAAGGGGCUUAGGGAAAAGCAUCCAAUAUGGCUAAGACGAUCAAAGCGAAGGACAAAUACCAAAUCUAAUUACCCUUAUUUUCAAUAUAGAAUGAAAGGUCAUUAGAAAAUAUUGCAAGGCUUACAUAUACUUCAUGCGUUUCUUAGGUAUUUGAUACUAGAUGUGGAUCUCAUAUUUAUACAAACAUGGAGAAACCAAAUAGAAGUAGACCGCUGCAAAAGGGAGAACUUGACCUACACAUUGAAGAUGAGCAAAGGUUACUACAUUGCCUAUAGGAAUAUACUUUUUGCCACUGCCUUUUGGUUUAGUAUUAGAAUUAGAAAAAUGUCGCUUUAUACCCACCAUAAUUGGAAUAUUAAAAUGAAUUGCAUGUUUGGACAUGAACUAUUUUAAUGUUGAGGACAAUUGUUGUUCUUGUUUAUCUUGAUAAAAAUCCUAAUGGUUAUGGUAAAUUACAAAACGACAUUUAUAUUUUUUAAUACUAAGGAUUCUAUAAUGAGUAUAGAAAUUAUAAGGUAUAAAUGCAAUAAUCUAAUUAUUACCUGAAUCUGGCAUGGCAGACUUUGUCAUAUAUAUGAAAUGCAAUAUUACAUAGAGAUGUGUAUGUGAGUCAAUUGAUUUUGAAUCAUUUGACAAGUGCAUAUCAUGCCUAUUAGGCACAAUGACCAAAUCUCCUUUUAUUUGAAAGGGAGAAAUGCCUGCAUAAAUAUUUGCAUAAUACAUAGUGAUGUAUUUGGACCUAUAUCAAUGUCAGAUGAGUUUUAUCUUAUGUCAUCAAUUAUCAUGUAUAUUUGAUGAAAUUCAAACAUGAAGUUUUUGAAAUGUUCAAAGAAUUCAAGUUAGAAGUAGAUAAACAAAUAGGUAAAGAUAUCAUCACAUUAAGAUCCGAUCGAAGUGAGAGUAUCUUAAAGAUAAAAUUUAGAUUAUCUAAGAGAGAAUGAGAUUCUCUUGCAGUGGACUCCUCCGUAUACGCUACAGCAUAAUGGUGUAUCUAAAAUGAGGAAUCGUUAACUAUUAGAUAUAGUGCGAUUAAUAACAAGCCAUGCAAAUCUCAUACGAAAGUUCGGUUAACAUAAGUCCAUACAAGUUCAUACUAAAUCAUGUCACAUUUAAGUUGGUUAACAGAAGUCCAUACGAGUUAUGGAAAGACAAUAGUCCUUAUUGAUCUCAUAUGAAAGUUUAUGGCCAUUACGCUUAUUUGAAGCGCCUUGAAUCGGAUAAGUUUGAGACUUAUUCCCGAUAAAUAUAUAUUUAUGGGAUAUUCAAAACAGAUAUUUGAAUAUAAAUUCUAUUAUCGAGAACUUUGUCUCAUGAUAUAUUGUCCUCUUAGAGAAAAUGUUUAAUCUAGGAGAGGACAGUGAGAGCAAAAUAGAAUUUGAAAGAGUUCAAAAGUUCACAAAUAUAGUUAACCAAGUAGAUGAAUCCGAGUUUUAUCCGAUAUCUGAUAUGGGACAUACUCUUAAUCAGGGAGUAGAAACUCCUAAGGAUAUGUCAGCUCUAUGUGAGUCUAGUAGGAUCAUUCGACCUUCAAGAAGGUACAAAUCCGUGAUUACUAAUCAGGUAUUACUGAUCCAGGAUGAUGAACCUACUAAUUGCACAAAAAUAAAAUCAAGUGUUGACUUAAAAGAGAUGGCAAAAGGCCAUGAAACCCGAGAUGAACUCGACGUACGUGAACAAGGUUUGGACCUCGGUCGACCCUCCUGAUGGGAUAAAACCCAUAGGUUGUAAAUGAUUUAUAAGGAAAAUGUCGACAUGGAUGGGAAUAUCCGUACAUACAAAGAAAGGCUAGUAGCAAAAGGUUAAGUGUUGACCUUGACAAAACCUUUCGCCUGUAGUCAUGCUAAAGUUCACUCAAAUUUUGGUUGCAAUAGCUGCAUACCGUGACUAAAAUAUUUGAUUUUAUCAAAUUUGAAGAUGAAUUGUGUGUUUAUAAAAAUAUAGUGAGAGCAAUGUUGUAUUCUUCAUAUUAUAGAAAACGACAUCCCUAUGUUUCAAUCGUUGAAAUAAUGGUCGUUAAAGAAUUUAUCCAUGAACGAUAUGGGAGAAGCAACUUGAUCUAUAGAGAUAGAUAUAGAAGAUUGCUUAACCCAUCCCAAUAUAUAUAGAUAAAAUCUUGAGAAGAUUUUAUAUGGAGAAGCUGGUUUACUCUUAAAUCGUAUGUUGAAAAGGUUCCAAAUGUAAAACAACCGUUGGUUUAUUGGCAAAAACCUAAUACAUGAUUGCUUCAGAAGAGCAAAGAGUUGCAAUGUGGAUCAAGAUGUUCAUUAAUAAACUUGGAAUAGUUCCUAAUGUUGUUAAUCACAUGCUAUUGUAUUGUGAUAACAAUACAACCAUCGCGAAAGUGAAGGAACUAAGGUCUCAUCAAUAAUCGAAACAUGUAUUAAGACGAUAUAAUCUCAUCAGAGAGAUAAUACAUAGAAAUGAUUUAAAGAGAAGAACGGAUUCCCACAGUUGAAAAUAUUGCAUAUCCAUAGACAAAGUGUUGUUGUAACAUAAACAUGAUCGUCAUGUAGCCUCUUAUGAUAUUGGAUACAUAAGCGAUUGAAUCUAGUGAAAGUGGGAGUUUGUAAGUGUUUUGCUAUAAGUCCAAUCAAUUUUGGACAUAAAUACUUUUAAUAUAUAAUUGAUGCAAUUUUAUAACAGAUCUAUUAUUUAUUAUUAUUCAAUUAAAUUAAAUAAUAGAGUUCGUAGAUUCAAAUAUUGGUAAUUUGUAAAUCACAAGUAGUUGUAAUUGUGAGAUACAAAUUACAUAUGAUUGAAUAUUAAAUCGCCCGUGGUCGUAAAUAAUUAAGAGAUACGGAUAUCGUUAUUACGGAUAGACCAUCACGUGUGACAUUUCUUACUUGUGAAGUAAGUAGCUAAUCUCACAAAUUAAAUUGUGGUGACACUUGAAUGAACACGUGGAUAUUUUGUUAUAGAACAAAACAUUGGAGUCUCGUCUAGAGAUUUUGCAUAGAUAACUAUCUGAGUGUCAGUGGUUAAUCUCUAACAUUUGGUAGUGUGAUUGGUCCUUUGACUUGAGGUUGUCAUAAUACCUUAUAUGAGGGUAGUCAUGCUUUGAUGGUGUUGGAUGUUACUCUGUCAAGGACCGCUAAUACGAUAUCACUUGGGUAUGUCAAGAAUCGUAUGAAGGUUGUGAAUGACCAAUAGAGGAUUCGUCACUCUUAGAUAGUAAGAGAUUAUGAUCUGCAUUUCAUUCAAUUAAGUUGAUAAUGAAAUCCUUAAACAAGGUAUACUCAUAAGUCGAAAAUGAGUUUUCGACUUGUAUUGACUUAAUAGUGGAGUGAAAGAUAUGAUCGGUAAUCGAGAUUAACACACUUCCAUAUCUCGUAAUUGAUCCGAUCAUAUUGACGAAGGAAUCGUAGUUUUAUGGUAAAUGAACGAGUUUGGUUUUGUCAUACCACGUAACAUUUCCCGUCACAUGUAUUUCCAUGACAUAUUGCUAGAUGUCAAUUUGGGAUGGCGAGUGUGAAUUGGUGAUAAAUUAAAACGGUAUUUUAAUUUAUCAAUUUUGAUUAGAUCAAAAUAAUAUUUCACGUCAUUAAACAUCUUGAUCGAGAACCUAAUGGGUCGCACACAAAAGAGAACUAGAAGAUUGUAAUUUGUCAAUUAAUUAAUUUAACAAGCGUUGAAUAAAUAAAUUAAUUGGGUUGCUUAUUUAUGGCCCGAAUUAAUUAAUUGGAUUAAUUAAUUCACGGAUCAAAUUUAAUUAAAUGAGUUAAUUAAAUAUUGGACCGGGUUAGGGCAAGCCCGUUUGGGCUUAUAUAAAUAAGUGAUUAGGGUUUACAAUUUGAUAGAGAAAAUUCAUUCUUCUUGCUAGCACAAGAAAAAUUCUAAUCCUACAAUCUUGUUCUCUUUGUGAAUCACCGUUGCAGGCUGGACAAUUGGACAGUUGUGGAUGACGAAUUAAGAUCGUUGGAUCGAAUGAAUGGCAAAGGAGUUUGCAGAUCUUGCAAAAGGUACAUUUUUAUCACAAUUCUAUCUAAACACAGAUAAUUCUUGGUACGAAUCGAAAUUUUUUUUAUUUUUCCGCUGUGCAUGAUAAGUAGAUUUCCAGCAUAUAGUCUAGUGCUUCACUAUCUUAUGCAGGGAGAGCGAAGCUUGUGAGAAACUUUCUUCAAGGUGUGGAAUGUUUUUCAUUGUCCAAUUUUCCCAUUCCAACUACAGUUGCCUCUAAAAUCACUAGCUUAUGCCGGAACUUCCUAUGGGGAGCCAAAAAGCCAUUGGUUUCUUGAAGCAACAUUUGCCUACUAAAUUAUAAGGAGGACUUGGUUUUAGAGAUAUUAAAAGAUGGAAUUGUGUGAUGCUUUCCAAAACACUUUGGAACAUCCAUAGCAAAAAGAUACCCUUUGGAUAAAAUGGAUCAAUCAAGUACAUCUUCGUGGAUGAACAUUUGGGAGUACAUGGCAAAAAAAAAAAAAAAAAUGAUUCUCCUUUAGUAAAAAAAGUGCUGGAAAUCAGGGACCAAUCAUGGGGCCUGAAUGCACAUUUCAGGCUAGUGUAGACUGGUUGUGGGACUGGAUGGAGGCAAAAAGUUUCAGUAUUAUGGCUGCCUAUGAUUUUUUAAGGCCAAGGGAUGCAAGGGCAGUAUGGGCAGAUACGGUUUGGAAUACAUCCAUCAUACCCAAGCAUGCUUUCAUUCUUUGAUUAGGUGUUAAGUCCAAAUUACUAGCUAAAGAUAAAAUUCAGCACUUUUGAAAUUAGACCAAAUAUGUUCAUUUUGUGGAGAAAUGGCGGAAACUGCAUAGCACAAACACUUAUUUUUCUCCUGUUCAUUCAAUAGUUCUAUUUGGGGACAGAUUCGUAGAUGGUUGGCCUUUAGACGCGCGAUGUCUACUUUACCAAGUGCAUUGAAAUGGAUUAAAAGGAAAGACUGAGGAACGACUUGGCAAAGCAAAGAAAAGUUAAACGAAUUGCACUUGCUACUUCCAUCUACUAUAUUUGGAUGGGGAGAUAUAGGUAGAUUUUUGAAGAUUUUAGGCCACAAGUGGAUUACAUUGUAAGACAGAUUAAAAUGCUUGUAUACAAAGCUAUGUUUAAUUUAUAUCCGCAUGUUUUAAUUCAUUUUGAGUCCUUAGCUGGGUGUCCUUAGCUAUUAUAGUAUGUACAUCUUUUCAUUGUAUUAGUCCGAGUAUGCCUCGAGUACUUGUAAUUGUCACUUGAUCUAUGUUUACGCAGGAACGAUUGAUGUACUUUUAUAUGAGUUUUGAUUAAUAGAAUUUACAUUUAUUGAUUAAAAAAAAAAAAAAAAAAUUUGACAGCUAGCCAAUAUCAAUUGGAGACCAUAUUUUAAUGAUGCUAGGCAGACGAUAUAAUCCUUGUGCAGCUUUAUUUAAGAAGAAGAAAAUCUGGCAGCUUGAUGUUCUUAAUUAGAAAGGAAUGGUCAAAGUUUUCGGCUGUACAGUUUACAAUUAAGAUAAACUUAUCAUUCGCCAACAUAGGUUGCAAUGCUUUUGGGAAAUUUCUGAGAAAGACUAGCUGAUUUUUAAUAGAAUUGUUGAUUUGAGAUAAAGAUAGCUCCACUCUGCUUCCUUCGGAAUAUGCUAUGCUUCUAUUCUUGUUAACGAGACAAAAGAGAGUUUACUUAAAAUAUUGAGGACACUUGAACACUAUAGUUUACUAGAAUUCAAAAAUAGAGUUCCUUUUUUCUAUAAAUUAGGUAACAAAUUCGAAAAUGUUGUUCACAACAGUAAUAGUUUUUAAAAAAUUCAAUAGUCGAGUCUCUUUUUCUUUCGUUCUUUGUUCUUACUACUUUUAUCUCUAGAAUAUCACAAGACAACUAGAAUGAAUAGGUGACAUGUUUUAUUAAUGAUUGAAAAAAAAAAAAAAAGGUUAUUGAGAAGUGGCUCAACCUGACAAAAUUAUAUCCCUUUGUGCAUAUAAUUCUUUACUAAGCUUUUUUCUUCUUAUUUCACUGGUCAUACCUCUAGGUGUUUCUUUUAAUUUAAAUCAAGAGGAUAAAUAAAUUCUACAUAAUAAUAGCUUAAUUAAUUUACAUAUACAAUCACAUGAAUAUUCUUAGUCUCCAAGUUAUGCAUUGAAUCGACUUAGUAAAGUUAACCCCAAGAAGCAUUCAUUGCUCCAAGGCUUCAAAAAACUUUUAUAACUUUACACAUGCACCCACUUGCUUUUUCCAAAUUCCUUUAAAUAAACUGCCAGUCCCUUCACAAUAAAUAUUUUAAAGCAAUGUAAAAAGGAACCUAAUGUUAGUCAAUUAUUUGGAAGCUUGUGAACCAAAAAAAGUUAUUGUUUCUAAAGCAAAUCCCACUAUCAUAAUAUGCUUUUCCCUUCUUUUAAUCCCACUACCAUAACAUGCUUUUCCCUUCUUUUAAUCCCACUCUCUUUUGUCCCUUAAGAACUUCCUUUGGCAGAUAGAUGCAAUAUCAGAAAAUUUAUUUGUAUCUUUACCACGAACGUGACAAAAUACUAAAAAAUAAAUUAAUUUAGUCGACCUAGCUAUUAAAUUUCAUUUAUCUCUAUUCAUCUAUUCGUCCAUCUUGUUGAGUUAAAAGGCGACGCAAGAUUGAGAUUUAAUGACAAUAAUAAAAUAUUCAAGAUCGCAUCACAAAAACAAGAUUAAAGUAAAGUACAAAAAAGAAACUAAGCAGAGGAACGAUGAAUUUUAUUAAACCCAACAAUAUGAAGAAAAUAAUAUAAGACAACAAAAAUGCUUCUAAUAAAAUUGACAGAAAAGCCAUUAAUUUAUAGUGCACGAGGCAAACUCUAGAAAUUAGGUUAAAGUUGGAAACUAGGCAAAAUAACGUGAAAAAAGUAAAAAUAAAAAUCCAGGGCCCAGAUUUUAUUUCCAUAACUUUUGGGUGCUAUUGAUUCCUUUCCAAAUCCAAAACACGCAUGCAAUCUUCAAGAUUUCGAUCGGAUUUUGAGGCAUCCAAUUAACACAUCUCUUAUUUUCUUCACUAGUGAUUUUACCCUUUUUUUUUUUUUUGGACAACGGCAUUCAUCAUAUCUUGUCUAAUUAGUUUUUAUUACAUCUUUGUAUAAUAUUCAAUGCUACCAAAGCAAAAAAUUAUAGCCCAUUAUAUCUAUUUUCGGCCUUAAUGUUUUAAAUGUCACUUUUCUUAGAUUGAUAUUUACAAUAUUAGGGAUAGUAAAAUAUUCUAAUGAAAAAAUGUCAAUUAGUCAAGCCGCCUGUUAAUAAUACUCAACAUAUUAAUCUUUCUAGAAUCCAUGGACGGUCAAGUAAGAAAUUGUAACUAAAUUAUCAUGUCUAAAGUUGAUUUAGUCCUUGUGUAAUACAACUUGAAAGGAAAAUGCUGAACGUACAUUUUCGUUUACAUAUGGUUGACAUUUCCUCCUAUGUGGUACAAUCAAGACCGUGUUGUGAAAGAUCGUUCGACAAACCAAACGAUGUUAUGGAGUCAUGUGAAAGAAUGUAAAAAGUGUAAAGGGAAAAAUGUACCUUAAUUGAACUUAAAAUGAGCUUUUUUUUUUCUUUUUUUUUAAGCAAAAUAUGAUAUUUUGAAAAAUCAAAUCGUAAAUAAAUUAUUUAGGCAAUUGGCUCUCCUCCAUUCAUUUCUAAGAAUAUCAAACGUUCAUAUUCCCAAUAUUUUUAUUUCCAUAAUUGCCCUCAAGUUAAAUGGUCAAAUGACAACAAUGCCCAGGGCUGAACCUAAGGAGAGGCCUAAGAGGCCUCUGCCUCAGGCCUAUCGUAUUGAGGGGCCCAAGAAAAUGGUGUAUACCUAUUUUUAAAAACCCAACUUCAACACAAUAAUUCAUUUUCCUCCACAGUCCAUGGCAAUCAGUAGCGACGGCACUGAAACUCGAAGUGCAACUUCUCAAAACUAACAUGUGCACACAGCACACAUGACAAUCCGCACGAAUUUGGUUUAGUUGUAUUUUCUAUCGCAAAACGUUUGCCUCAAUGCAGUUGGGUUAUUAAACUUCAAUUGACGAGCAACCAAGUUAAUUUACUUCAAUUUUGUAGGAAUUAAGCCACUCUAUAUCACCAUAUGUAAAGAAGAUUAAGUAAAAAAUGUGAUAAAGGUUGCUUCAAUUUGGCCCUAUCCUCUAUACGAAUUUGUUAUGCAUAUUUUAGUCUCGAAAAUCGUAAGACGACUUGUAUUUAAGUGAUCUUUUAGAAUAUUUUCGCAUUGGCAUUUGAUUAUAAUAUACAUACUUUAAAUAUUUCAUUUUCUUUGUUUUAUUUUUUGAUUUUAAGUUAACAUAUUUAGUUCCUUAAAUCUCUUAUAAAUGAAACAAAUUUAUUGCUUGUUAUGACUUAUGGACCCAAAAUAUGAAGUUCGCCUCGAGCCCGCAAAACACAGGUCCGACCCUGACAAUGCCCAAGACAUAAAUACACCAUGCACCCUAAUUCUAGGUAGUUUCGUCAAUUCCACGAUGUGGUGGAAUGGUCCGAAAAUAGUUCGUCAACCAUGUGACAGAAAAGCUAGAUAAUGUAAUCAUUUCUAUUCAAUUCUGGGCCAAAAAUCAAUCUUUUAUGAACCUCUUUCUACGAAGGUUCUUUAUUAGCGAAGGGUGACUUCCAUUAUUACCAGGGUGGACUCAGGGGACUUGGGUUAGGGGGUCAAAAAUAAAAUUUAUAGGAUAUUUUCUAUUAAAAAAAAAUGCUAAACAUAUUUUUUUCCCCAAAAUCUAGAGGGUCAAUUGACCCUAUAAUCCCCCCCCCCAGGUCCGCCCCUGAUUAUCACUUAGGAAUCUACCCAAAUUGACGAUAAAGAUAAAUACUACUGUCUCUUGAACACUUUUUUGCCUCUAAUUAAUAGGAUUAAAAUUUAAAAUUUAAUUUAAACUAAAAGUCAACAAUUAAUUUAAAAUAACUUAUUUUAUGGAGUUCAUAAUUUUUUCAAUUACACAUUUCAUCAACUUUUAUCAAAAUCUACUAAAAAUUUGAUUUUAAUCUCCACCGAACAGGAGCUUACCAUCAAAAUAGUCUAUUGGCGUUAACUAUAAUUUUACUUAAACUUCAAUUAAUUAAUUAACUAAACUUCAAUUUGCUUCAAUCAUUGAAAAAAGUUAUACUUAUUAAUAAUAUAAGCCAACUGGAAAUUAUGUCAACAUUAAAAAGGGAGACUUACUGUUGAAGUCCACUCAUACCCAUCGCCUAUUUCUUCCAAAUUCUGUCGUUGAAUUAUCUUCACAUUUGCAAACCAUGCAUCGGCAUUCAUCACAUCUUGUCUAAUUAAUUUUUAUUACAUCUUUGUAUAAUAUUCAAUGCUACGAAAGUGAAAAAGAAUAGCUCAUUAUAUCUAUUUUCGGCCUUAAUGUUUUAAAUUAACAAAUUGACGAUUUUUUAAAAAAAAAAAUUUAAUAAUUAACAAAUUGACCAUUAUUUUCAAAAUAUAUUUUUCUUUAUCUUUUUUAAUCACACAUUCUUUAAUAAAAUAAUAUUACUAGAAAAUUCAAAAAAAUUCUUUAUCUUUUAACCCCAUAUUCUCGAUCGAUCCACUAUUCAAAAUGCAUUUUCAGCCAAAUAAUGGGACUCAAACAACAGUCAAUUUUUUUAAAUUUGAACUACUGUCCAAGUAUUCAAGUGAAAUUUAUCGUUGUAAAGGCCAAUUGACAAUUUAAUAAAGAUUUUUGUAAAGGUCGUGUUUGAUUCCCAUUACGUAGGAAAUUUAAUGGGGGGGAAUAAUGUUUUUUUGAAAAAUGAGUGGUUGAAAAAGAAUGAAAAAUUUUCAAUUUACGUGUAAUAUUAUUUUAUAGAAGAUUGUGUGCUUAAAAAUAGGAGAGAGAAAAAUAAAAUUUAAUAAAAUUUAAUGUAAUGGGGCUCAAAUUGGGCAAAAAUUCAAUUGUUGUUAUGAAGGUCACUUGAUAGUCAUUUAACAAAGAAGUUGGGAAGCAAUUAUUGCAGUUAGAUGUGAAAUCUGGCACCAUAGAUUUUCAAACUUUAGCACGUGGCAACUGAUGAGAACACAGAGGUUUUGCCUUGUGUGGGGGCUUGCAUAAAUAGCAAUGACCACGUGCCCGGUGCGUGAUAAAAAAACUAUAUUCCCUUAAAUUCAACUUCAAAGAUAUAGCUCCGAUGAAAUAUGAACAAAUCCCCGUGUACAAUAAUUUUGCCCCUGUUUGGCCCCCAUUUUGUGAAAAAAUUAAUGGGUGAAAUAAUAUUUUUUUGAAAAUGGAUGGUUGAAAAAGAAGGAAAAAUUUUCGAUUUACGUGUAAUAUUAUUUUAUGGAAGAUUGUGUUGUUAAAAAUAGGAGAGAAAAAAAUGAAAUGUAAUGGAAUAAAAAUUAAUGAGAGCCAAAUAGGGACUUUAAUUAUUUUCUAACGGUCCGAUCACACGAUGUCACAUGUAUUUUGUUAAAAAAUUAAAAUAAAAUAGAUUAAUUAGAAUAUUUAUAUUUAUCUCUUCAAAAUAAUCCACUUUAUAUUAUAAACACUAGAUCGGAAAUAAAAUUAGAGUAUUUAUAUUUAUCUCUUCAAAAUAAUCCAAAUUAAAUGCAACCUAAAAAUUCCAAACAAUACACAAGUUUGUCCCCUGAAAAUAAGAAUUUGAUAUUGAAUGGUAAGAAGCGAAAUGGUGAAAUGGUCAUAUUUUUUUUUUACUGAGUUUAUGUUUGGUUCAACAAAAUAGUAAUUCAAAUCGAAGUUAAAUAUAACGAUUAAUUAUAUUAAUCCAUAAUUUUCAAUUAUAUAUUUUAUUAAUCUUUUUUAAAAUCUAAUAAAAAUUUGGAUUUUAACACAACCAAGAAUUCCGCGUGCAUGAAAAUGAAGUAUUAAUAGACUUGUCUGCAAUGUGCACAGCCCAACAUUUAAACAAAUUAAUUCUAUGUUCAUUGAAUAAUGUAAAGUUAAAUAAUGUAAGCAUUUCUAUUCAAUUGUGAGCCAACAAUCAAUCUUUUAUGAACCUCUUUCUACUAAGGUUAUUUGUUAGCGUAGGGUUACUACCAUUAGCACUUAGAUAUCUAUCCAAAUUGAUGGUAAAGAUAAAUAUUACUGUCUUUUGAACACUUUUUAGCCCCUAACUAAUAGGAUUAAAAUUUAAAUUUUAAUUUAAACUGUUGCGUGUUGUCACACCUGGCCAACUUACCUAGGACAAUGGCUCACUCAUGGCGAUCCACGUGGCAUUCCUGUCGAGGCGGCACACAAUGUCGAGGUGGGCUACAUCCGAACUGCUUCGAGCCGAAGUCUUUUUGCCGAGGCUCCUUUUUGUCCGAGGCCUAUUGACCGAGGCCUACGAACCGAAGCCAGGUUGCUGAACCUAUGGAGAGCAGCCGAGGCCCUCAAGUGGAAUUAUCAUGACAAAUGGCCGGAGCCCCGAAGCUGAUGCGCGAGCCUAUGAACCACAAGGAAACAUCCUCCAUGGUCACUUCUCCCAAGAGAUCACCUGCACAGAUCUUAUUCGAAUGAUUGAUGGAACGUUUGUCAUAAGCAUAAAGGUCAAGUCUUGUCACUAGCAUGGAGGCCCUGCACAAGUAAUAAAUGCGCUGCAAGCUAGCAAGUCAAGCCCCAUACCUAGGAAAAGAUGUUUGAACUAAAGAGAUGAGGCCACGUGCCACUUCAUCCAAGGGCUUCCAUUUCAUAUGUACUACUAUAAAUACUUCCCUUAUGUAAUAUUAAAAGGCUAAGCAAGAAUCAAUACAAAGAACUACAUUUACUCAAUUCUCUCUCAGUUUACUUGCAAUACACAAAUCGAGUUUAUACACAUCUACAUAUAUAUUUAUGAACACCGGUUGGUAAUUAUGGUACAAUCGGAUUACGAACAACCCGCCCGAUUCCGAACGUCACCGUCCCGCGUCGUUGGGCUACUCCCACACCCUUUGAACCGCUCGUUUUAGACCGUCCACGUGUCUUAGCAUGUUAGACAUUCGCCCACGCAAGCGCGGGUGGGACCGGCAUCUGUUGGCGCACUUUUUGGGGUCAACAUAAACUAUUUGACAACAAUUAAUUUAAAUCAUAUAUUUUAUAAAAUUCAUAAUUUUUUAACUACACAUUUCAUCAAUUUUUAUCAAAAUCUACUAAAUAUUUGAUUUUAAUCUCGACCGAACAAAGCUUACCAUCAAAGUAGUCUAUUAGCGAUAACUAUAAUUUUACUUAAACUUCAAUCAUUGAAAAAGGUUAUACUUAUUAAUAAUAUAAGCCAACUGGAAAUUAUGUCGGCAUUAAAAAGGAAGACUUACUGUUGAAGUCCACUCAUGCCCAUCCAGGAACCUAGGGUUGAAUUAUUGUUUCUAAUGCUUUUCCCUUCUUUUAAUGCCACUUUCUCUUUUGUCCCUUAGAACUUCCUUUGGCAGAUAGAUGCAAUAUCAGAAAAUUUAUUUGUAUCUUUCCCACGAACUUGACAAAAUACUAAAUAUUAAAUUAAUGUAGUCAGCAUUUUCUUAUUUAUCUCUAUUCAUCUAUUAUUUAGGCCCUAUUUGGAAGGGAUUUUGAGAAUUGAUUUUUUGACCGUUAGAAGAAAAGUGGGAUCCAUCUGUGAGAGAAGAAGUCAAAAAUUACGGCUAGAAUAGUGAAAUAACGGUCAAAAAAUCAAUUUUUUGGGGUAAAAAAUUCCUCCCAAACAGGACCUUACUUCGUCCACCUCUUAUUUUCUUCACUAGUUUUUUUUGACAUCAGCAUUCAUUAUAUCUUCUCGAAUUAGUUUUUAUUACAUCUUUGUAUGAUAUUCAAUGCUACCAAAGCGAAAAAGAAUAGCCCAUUAUAUCUAUUUUCGGCCUUAAUGUUUUAAAUGUCACUCUUAUUGGAUUGAUAAUUACAAUAUUAGGGAUAGGUAAAAUAUUCUAAUGAAAAAAUGUCAAUUAGUCAAGCCGCCUAUUAAUAAUAUUCAUCAUACCAGUGCUUGUUUGGUAGGAAUUUUGUUAAUUGAUUUUUUGACUGUUAAAGAUAAAGUGGGUCCUACGUGUAAUAUUAUUUUAUGCAAGAUUGUGUGGUUAAAAAUAGAAAAAAAAAAUAAAAUGUAAUGAAAUGAAACUUAAUGAGGUCAAACGGGAGCUCAAUUGUUGUUACGAAGGUCACUUGAUAGUCAUUUAUGAUAAAGAUAAUUAUUACGGUCUCUUAAACACUUUUAGCCUCUAAUUAAUAGGAUUAAAAUUAAAAUUUUAAUUUAAACUAAAAGUCAACAAUUAAUUUAAAUUACAUAUUUUAUGGAGUUCAAAAUUUUUCAACUACGCAUUUCAUCAACUUCUAUUAAAAUCUACUAAAAAUUUGAUUUUAAUCUCCACUAACCAGGAGCUUACCAUCAAAGGAGUCUAUUAGCGAUAACUAUAAUUUUACUUAAACUUCAAUUAAUUAAUUAACUAAGCCAUCUAGAACUUAUAUCAGCAUUAAGAAGGAAGACUUACUGUUGAAGUCCACUCGUACCCAUCCAGGAACCUAGCUUGUUUCUUCCUAAGUCUGUCGUUGAAUUAUCUACACAUUUCCAAACCAUUCAUCGGCAUUCAUCAUGUCUUGUCUAAUUUGUUUUUAUUACAUCUUUGUAUAAUAUUCAAUGCUACCAAAGCGAAAAAAAUAGCCCAUUAUAUCCAUUUUCGUACUUAAUGUUUUAAAUGUCACUCUUGUUGGAUUGAUAUUUACAAUAUCAGGUAUAGGUAAAAUACUCUAAUGAAAAAAUGUCAAUUAGUCAAGCUGCCUAUUAAUAAUAUUCAUCAUACUAAUAUUUCUAGAAUCCAUAGACCGGUCAAAUAAGAAAUUGCUACUAAGUUAUUAUGUCUAAAGUUGAUUUAGUCCUUGUGUAAUAAAACUUGAAAUGAAAAUGCUAAACUUACAUUUUCGUUUACAUAUAGUUGACAUUUCCUCCCGUGUGGUUUUAUGUAGACCAUGAUGUUAAAGAUUGUUCGACAGAUCAAAGGAUGUUAUGGAGUAAAUGAAAGUGUAAAGGAAAAUGUACCUUAAAUAUUGAACUUAAAAUGAAAUGAGAUUUUUUUUAAAGCAAAAAUACGAUAUUUUGGAAAAUCAAAUUUUAAAUAAAUUAUUUAGGUAAUUGGCCAUCCUCCAUUCAUUUCUAAGAAUAUCAAUCGUUCAUAUUCCCAAUUUUUUUAUUUCCAUAAUUGCCCUUUGAAAAAUCAAAUCUUAAAUAAAUUAUUCAGGAAAUUGGCCCUCCUCCAUUCAUUUCUAAGAAUAUCAAUCGUUCAUACUCCCAAUUUUUUUUUUAUUUCCAUAAUUGCCAUCGAGUUAGAUGGUCAAAUGACAACAGUGCCUUGGACAUCAGGACAUGAAUACCCCAUCCACCCUAAUUAGAGGUAGUUUCAUCAAUUCCACAAUGUGGUGGAAUGACCCAAAAACAGUUCGUCAACUAUGCGAUAGAAAAGCUAAGGGGGUGUUUGAAAGUCAUUUUUAUGUAAUAUAAGAAUGCAUUUUAGAAUAGUAACUUGAUAGGAAGUGUAUGGUUGAAAAAUAAAGAAAAGUUUUUUAUUUACGUGUAAUAUUAUUUUAAUAAAGAAUCUGUGGUUGAAAAGAAGAGAGAAAAAAUACAUUUUGAAAAAAAUGAGUACCAAAUGGGGGCUAAAUAAUGUGAGCAUUUCUAUUCAAUUGUGGGCCAACAAUCAAUUUUUUAUGAGCCUCUUUCUACGAAGGUUCUUUGUUAGCGUAGGGUUACUACCAUUAGCACUUAGGAAUCUAUCCAAAUUGAUGAUAAGGUUAAAUAUUACUGUCUCUUGAACACUUUUUAGCCUCGAAUUAAUAGGAUUAAAUUUUAAUUUUAAUUUAAACUAAAAGUCAACGAUUAAUUUAAAUCACAUAUUUUAUGGAGUUCAUAAUUUUUCAAUUAUACAUUUCAUCAACUUCUAUCAAAAUUUUAAAAUUUACUAAAAUUUUGAUUUUAAUCUCUACCGAAUAGGAGCUUACCAUCAAAAUAUUUUAUUAGAGAUAACUAUAAUUUUACUUAAAUGUCAAUUAAUUGAUUAACUAAACUUCAAUUCGCUUCAAUCAUUGAAAAAGGCUAUAUUUGUUAAUAAUAUAAGCUAAUUGGAACUUAUGCCAUUGUUUGAUUCUCAUUCUUUGGUAAAAAUACAUUUUUAACAGUAUUUUGACAUCAUUUCAAUCACAUUUUUCAAUAAAAUAAUAUUACACACAAAUUUAAAAUUUUCUUUUCUUUUAACCACACGUUUCACAUCAAUACACUAUUCAAAAAUUCAUUCUAUCCCCUAAAAUGGGGCUCAAACAAGGGCACAUAUCGGCAUUAAAAAGGAAGACUUACUGUUGAAGUCCACACAUACCCAUCGCCUAUUUCUUCCUAAGUCUGCCAUUGAAUUAUCUUCACAUUUCCAAACCAUUCACAAGGCAGAUUGGUUUCUUCAGAGUUGGUUUUUGACUUUGAGAGGUAAAACUCCAUGUCUUUCAGAAUAACUAAUUAUUAAUUUUGAAUUUUCAUACAAUUUAUUUUUCUUGAAUCAUCCUUUCCUUAUGUUAUCAUACAAAGAUUUUGAUGUGCUUAUUGUCAUCCUUUCCUAGAGUCAAGAUCUAAAUGCUAUAAUUUUAUCUUCUUCCUUUUCUGUUCUGUUACUAAUAAUAAAGAGCUUGUUUCUUCCUAAGUUUGCCUCUGAAUUAUCUUCACAUUUCCAUUCCAUUCAUCAGCUGGGAAACAAUUACAAGAACACAAGGCAGAUUGGUUUCUCUUCUCUUCCGGCUCAUCAGCUUCUUUCAGUUAAAACUCCAGUGUUAAUUUUGACUUUGAGAGGUAAAUAACACCUUGUCUUUUAUAAUAACUAAUUAUUAAUUUUGAAUUUUCAUACAAUUUAUUUUUCUUGCAUCAUCCUUUCCUUAUGUUAUUGUGAUGUAUUUAAUUUAGCUUUUAUUGUUAGUACACUUAGCAGGUAUAUGUCAAACCCUAGUCCCACGCAUUGGGAAGCUUUGAAAUGGUUGUUUAAAUAUUUGAAAGGAACAUGCAAUGUUGGUUUAGUAUAUAAGUUUAUAUCUCUAACUACCAAGUCCAUCUUUUAAUUAGGUAUUGAGCACCUAGCCCUAAUGGGCCGAUUUCCUCUAAAUACCUAACUUAAUUGGGUUACUACAAUUGUGGUGUGGAUCUUUAAUACAUAUUUCAAUCCCGGGCUUAAAGCCUAUGAAACGAACGGGUCUCGAUUUUUCAUCAUUGCCUAGGGGGUUGUUUGGGCAUCACUAAAAUACCUAACAACCUCCACCUUGAUGCCAGAACAACCUGCAAGUCAGAUAAGAUAACAAAUAGCUUAAGUAAAGAGACUUACAAGUUUGUACCGAUAUUUAGAAGAUCAAGGCAACUUCUAAACUUUACCAAUGGGAGCACUUUAGUUCCCAUAUCUGCAGGAUUGUACUCUGAAAGGAUUUUCUCAAGUUUUACCAGUUCUUGAGAAACCAUAUCUCUAAUGAAAUGCAAUUUAACAUCUAUAUGUUUAGUACGUUCAUGAAAGACAGGAUUUUUGCAUAAGUGAAUAGUAGAUUGACUAUCAGAAUAUAUUGUCACGUCAUUAUCAAGAACACCUAGUUCAUUUAAUAUACCUUUAAACCACAUAGAUUCUUUAAAGGCUUCAGUAGCAGCAAUAUAUUCAGAUUCAGUAGUAGAUAAUGCAACAACAUGUUGAAGUUGUGAUUUCCAGCUAAUACAUGAUUCACACAAAGUAAAUACAUAGGAAGAUGUAGAUUUCCUAUUAUCUCUAUCACUAGCAUAAUUAGCAUCAGUAAAGCCUUUCAAUUUUACUCCUUCAGUACUAAACUUAUAUACUAAACCAACAUUACAUGUUCCUUUCAAAUAUUUAAACAACCAUUUCAAAGCUUCCCAAUGCGUGGGACCAGGGUUUGACAUAUACCUGCCAAGCGUACUAACAGUAAAAGCUAAAUCAAGUUUAGUACACACCAUUAAAUACAUCACAGAACCGAUGGCAUUCGAAUAUGGAACAUUUUUCAUAUAUUCCUCUUCCUCUUCAUUAGGAGGUGAUUGUUCCUUAGAUAACACAAAGUGAUUGCCCAAAGGCUAAGAAACAGGUUUACAUUCAAUCAUGCCAAACUUUUUCAAAAUUUUCAUAAUGUAUGGAGCCUGAUGCAAAAGCAACAAUGAAUUUGACCUAUCUCUUUUAAUCUCCAUGCCUAAGAUCCUUUUAGCAUUACCUAGGUCUUUCAUAUCAAAUUCAUUACUCAAAGUAGUUUUUAUACUGUUUAACAACUUUAAGUUGGGACCAAUCAAAAGCAUAUCAUCCACGUAUAGCAACAGAAACACAUAGUUAUUAUUCAUACUGCCUUGAUAGUACAAGCAAUGAUCAAAUUCAUUCCUUUUAAAACCAAUUGUUUGAACAAACGAAUCAAAACGUUUGUACCACUGUCUAGGAGAUUGUUUUAAACCAUAUAGAGAGCGUUUUAGAAAACACACAUGAUUAGGUUUUUGUUUGUUUUCAAAACCCUUAGGUUGAUCCAUAAAAAUCUUUUCAUCAACCAUGCAGAAAAGCAGUUUUAACAUCAAGUUGUUCAAGUUCCCAAUUAAAAUGCGCAACUAAUGCAAGCAUAGUCCUAAUUGUGGUAUACUUAACAACUGGAGAAAAGAUCUCAUUAUAACCUAUCCCUUCCUUUUGUGUGUAACCUUUGGCCACAAGUCUAGCCUUAAACCUUAAAUCCUCUCCUUUGGUAAUUCCCUCCUUAACCUUAAAAACCCAUUUGCACCCAACAAUAGACUUGUCUUUAGGUCUUGGGACUAACUCCCAUGUUUGAUUUUUAUCGAGAGAAUUUAUCUCUUCUUUCAUCGCUUUCACCCAAUUUUCAGAUUGUUCACUCCUCAAGGCUUCUUUAUACGUGUUUGGUUCCCUAUCAACUAGUUCUUCAUAACUAGUAUAAGCAAGCUCAAAAUCAGACUCUAAUCUUUGAGGCACCCUAUGUGUUCUCUUAACUCUGUCUCUAGCUAACUGGUAAUCAGAUAAAGGGUUUUGUUCUUCUUGAUAUUCCUCUACAAUCUCAUCUCUCUCAGUAUUUUCAUUCUGGCUGUCUUCUAAUUUAGGAUUUUGAUGCUCCACCACAAUUGAGGUGGUGGGGGUUCUAACACUUAAAGAUCUUAGAUCCUCUCGGGAUUCGUCACUAGUGUUUUCUUGCUGUUUUUCUCUCAAACUGUCAUUCUCUGAUUUAAGACACGGCAUAUCAGACUCAUUAAAUGUAACAUCACGGCUUACGAUGAUCUUAACUCCAGGUUGACUUCUAUCCCAAAGCCUGUACCCUUUAACUCCUUCAGGGUAUCCUAAGAAAAUACAUUUCCUAGCUCUAGGUUCUAGUUUUCCCUCAUUUUGAUGAGAGAAAGCAGCACGGCUAAAAGUUUUCAACAUAGUAUAGUCAGCACAUUUACCAUACCAUUUUUCAUACGGAGUAUCACCAUUUAAUGCAGUAGAAGGUGUCAUAUUAAUCAAAUAACAUGCAGUUACAACAGCUUCACCCCAAAACGAUUUAGGAAUACCAGAACUCAACAUCAUACAUCUAACUUUGUCAAGUAAAGUACGAUUCAUACGUUCAGCCACCCCGUUCUGUUGAGGUGUAUAAGGAACAGUUCUAUGUAUAGUAAUUCCACAUUUUUCAAACAUAUCAUCAAAAUCUUUAUUACAGAAUUCUAGGCCAUUNNNNNNNNNNNNNNNNNNNNNNNNNNNNNNNNNNNNNNNNNNNNNNNNNNNNNNNNNNNNNNNNNNNNNNNNNNNNNNNNNNNNNNNNNNNNNNCACACAGUGGUCACAGAAAGGCAUAUUAGGCACACAGUCUUUUCCUAAUACACCUUUAUCAUUUAGCAGUUUAAGUCCUUUAAUACUUAUGUGAGCUAAUCUAUUGUGCCACUUGUGUGUAUCAUCAGUGUUGGUCAAAUUUAUAGAGGAAAUAGAAUCUUUAACAAUUUCAGCAUUGGUCACAUAAAUACCGUUUCUUUUAAUACCUUUACAUGUGACAAGUGAACCCUUAAUCAUUUUCAACAUACUGUUUCCAAUUUUACCAGAAAAACCAUCGGUUUCUAAUGCUCCUACCGAAAUAAGAUUUCUAGCCAUUUCAGGAAUAUAUCUGACUCCAUAUAAUUUAAGCACAUAGCCAGUGUCAAAUUUUAACGUGAUAUCACAAAUUCCAACAAUUUUAUAUGCAUCAUUAUUGCAUAAAAUAGCAUGACGACUUUUAGACUCUUGCAAAUUUUCAAACCAAGCUUUAUGUGAUGAAACAUGGAAUGAUGCACCAAAAUCAAGUAUCCAUUCAUGCACGUGUGAUUUCAUAGUCAGAUUUACUUCAGUAGGUUCAGAGUUCAAUAACACAUAUACUUCACAGCAUUUAUCAGAAGAAGUAACAACAUUGGCCUCAUCAACAACCUUUUCAUUUUGUUUGUUUUUCUCAACAUAACAAUCUUUAAUGAAAUGUCCAGUUUUACCGCACCCAUAACAUUUCCUACCUUUAGGUUUACCUUUUGGCCUAGAUAGAGUCCUAUUUUUCUUUUUACCACCAGAUGCAUAUCCUCUUUGGUCAUCACGAGUCCUAGACUGAGACCUACCUCUCAUCAUAUGGACCUCACCACUUUUUCUCUCGACUCUCUCGGCUCGCAUUUCCAUAUCUUUACUUCUUAACGAGUCUAUGACAAUUUCAGGUGUUAAAGUAUCUCUCCCUUACUUAAUAGCAUUUUUAACAUAUCUAUAAGUGUCAGGAAUAACAUUCAACAAAAUGAUAGCCUUAUAUUCUUCAGAUACUUUUUCACCACAGUUAGUGAUGUCUUGCACAAGUUUAUUGAAAACAUCCAAAUUGUCAUCAAGGUCUUUUGAAGAAUCAAUUUUGAAACUAAAAAAGCUUUCGAGUAGAAAAAGUUUGUUUGGAGUGGACCUUGACACAUAAAGUUCCUCCAAGUUUUCCCAAAGUUCUUUGGUAGUUUUUAACUUACCAACUUUUCUUAAAACUGCAUCAGACAAGUGUAAAAUAAUAGAAGUGUAUGCCAAUUCAUCCAAGUUUUCUUUUUCUUCAGCAGUCAAGGUUUCAAAAAAAGAAUCAUCAAUAGCUUUUGAAACUUUUUGUUGAACAAGAAUACCUUUCAUUUUUUGUUGCCAAAUAGAAAAAUCUCCUUUACCAUUAAAGAUACCCAAUUCAAAGUGAUGUGUCGAUAUCUUACCCAAAAAUGCACAGAACGCAAAUUCAAACUUGUAAAGGUCACAAGUCACACAGAUUACACAAAGUAACAAGAUUCCUAUGGUUUCACAGUAAUACUCUAUUCUAGAACCCCAAGAGUCCGUGAGAAUCAAGUUCUCAGGUCAAGGGAAGAAACUAGAAUAGGCGGCUCGGGUACAAUUCUAAAAUGAUAUAAGAUAACACAACAACGUUCAACAAAUUAAGCUAAAAACGAUAAACAAAUAAUUUCACUUAGAAAUUAAACAGGUAAUCCUAUGUUCUAGCAACAAACAAUGGUUACCAAGCAAUGGCAACCCCCAAACCUAUGUGAUCACCCAACACGAUGAUCUGCUAGUGUGAUAAUGUGAAGGUUUCAGCCAAUUUACCAGAGCGGACCACUUCUGAGGUCCGUAAAUUGGACAGAUGUGAAUUUACUGCUUUAGGGCCGCAAUCUUGGCCUAAAGUAAUUCAGUAAAUAUUCAGAAGUUUCGACCGGCAAUCCACCAAGGGCAAAAUCGUCCAACUUUUUCUGCAGUACCUGAAAUCGAAAACUAACAGCACAGGAGUGUUAGAAAUAACAAAAUAAAGAUUCUUUCAGAAGGGACCUUCCCCGGAAUCGGAGCACAUGGCCCUCACGCGCCGCCUCCGGUUUGCCCACGCGCCGUCGGCGUUGACCGACGCGCCGAUGGUCCUGAAUCUCCUCCGCCUGCACGUCCUAAAUCCGGUCUCUGUUUCUCCAAACGACUUUUGGUUUGUCCAGAAAUCGAAUUUACAGGUUCAGAUUUUUUUUGAAAAAAUCUGGGCAGAUUGCGUUUCUGAUCUGUUUUCUUCGAUUCCACCGCUCUGAUACCAAUUUGUGAGUAUUAAAUGUCUCCUACAAGUGAACAAAUCAACAAGUAAGUGAUAAACUCAAUUAAUAAACAAGAAUCAAUCAAAACAAUCAAGAAAGUGAAGAAAUAGAUGCAAGAACAAAGAAGUAAUAAUUCCCCCUUUUCUUAGGCUCAGAAACUUCGAUCCAACACCACAAAGGUAACACCAACAAUAGAUUUUCGGAGUCCAAGAUAUACACCAAGUAUUAGAGCACACAAAGGCAAAGAAAAAUAGUUUCAAGGCACAAAGUACAGGGACUAUUUUCUAGGGUUGUUGGUAUGUUUACAUAGGUUUAGAGGUCAAUUAUAUGUAGGUCAAGUAGAAAAACGAAUUUCCUAGAUAUUCCAAUAAAAUCUUCAAAGAUGGGUAUCAAUUUGAAUAAGGUAGGUUACCAAAAGUUAGGGAUAGUGUAUAUCUCUAACUACCAAGUCCAUCUUUUAAUUAGGUAUUGAGCACCUAGCCCUAAUGGGCCGAUUUCCUCUAAAUACCCAACUUAAUUGGGUUACUACAAUUGUGGUGUGGAUCUUUAAUACAUAUUUCCCGGGCUUAAAGCCUAUGAAACGAAUAGGUCUCGAUUUUUCAUCAUUGCCUAGGGGGUUGUUUGAGCAUCACUAAAAUACCUAACAGUUAUUAUACAAAGAUUUUGAUAUGCUUAUUGUCAUCCUUUCCUAGAGUCAAUAUCUAAAUGCUGUAAUAUUAUCUUCUUGAGUUUUAUAUAUUAUAUUAUAUAGUAGAAAAUAAGUUUUUAGAAAAAAAAAAAAAGAAUUUUCAGAAAUUGACUGCUAAUUAAGUGGAAGUAAUAAUAUAUGAACAGUCAGGUAUUUCACUUCCAUAUACUUGUACAAAUGUUUCUUUGACGAGGUUUACAACAGAUAUACAAAAAAUUCCUGGAAAGAAUUAGAAAAAUAAACAUUAAAUAUGAUUAAUUUCACGUAGAAAAGGUAAUUUACCAAAUAACCAAGGAAAAAAGUUGACGUAGCCGUAACUCUAACAAUAAAAUUUUUUCGAGUGAAAAUAAUAUAUCGAAUUAUUAUAAUCCAAUCCACGUUGUCAAUCAAAUUAUCUAGAAUAGGAUUGUAUGGAGUGUGUGGAAAAUUUCAUAGGAUUCACAAGUGUAUACAUAAUUGGAUUUUUUUUUCCUGUUGAAAAAUGCAAUUUACAUUUCCUUAACAUCUCGCCAUUGAAGAGAUUUUCGUCCAGUUUAGAGAUCUAAAUUACAAUUUAAAUCUAUUUUAUAUCACGAUUGGAGAUGCUCUUAUAAUUCUUUUCUAUAGUUGGAGUUUCACCCAUAAUAUCAAUCUUCUAGCUAAUUUAUGCUUAUGGUGGCAUUAUUCUUCCACAUCGUCUUGGCCGAGUUUGUAUUUUGCCUUCAUUUUUCUGUGUAUAAUCAAUCAGUAUAAAUUAAAUUAGAUGAAAGACUAUAUUCAUGAUGAGAUGAUCAACAUGCAGGAAUGACAAUUAUACGAUAAAUAGUUCAUAUUUUUUUAAUUAAUUGUUGUAUCAAUUUUUAAGUUUCAUCUUAUUAAGAUCAAACUCAGGGUCAACCUGCUCCACCAGUGAAAUAAAUUUACAUUUCAAUUUAGGUUUGACAAUACAUAGGAAGAUAGCUCUCUGAUUUUCUAUCAGAUUUAUUAUUUAUAGAAGCAGGCAUAAAUAACACAGGGUAAUUGUUGAUUUAUACCAUUGAUUUAUACAAUUAAUUUAAAUCACAUAUUUUAUGGAGUUCAUAAUUUUUCAAUUACACAUUUCAUCAACUUCUAUCCAAAUCUACCAAAGAUUUGAUUUUAAUCUCUACCGAAUAGAAGCUUACCAUCAAAAUAGUCUAUUAGAGAUAACUAUAAUUUUACUUAAAAUGUCAAUUAUUUAAUUAACUUCAAUUUGCUUCAAUCAUUGAAAAGGAUAUAUUUAUUAAUAUUAUAAGCCAAUUGGAACUUAUAUCGGCAUUAAAAAAUGAAGGCUUAUUGUUGAAGUCCACUCAUACCCAUCCAGGAACACAAGACAAAUUGGUUUCUUCUCUUGUGGCUCAUCAGCUUCUUUCAGUUAAAACUCCAAUGUUAGUUUUGACUUCGAGAGGUAAAAAGCACCAUGUCUUUUAGAAUAAGUAAUCAUUAAUUUUGAAUUUCCGUACAAUUUAUUUUUCUUGCAUCAUCCUUUCCUUAUGUUAUUAUACAAAGAUUUUGAUGUGCUUAUUGUCAUCCUUACCUAGAGUCAAGAUUUAAAUGCUAAAAUUUUAUCUUCUUCCUUUUUUGUUCUUUUACAGAGGUUGGGUUUUUGUGAUUUCCUUUGGGCGUCUUAUCUAUAGGCAAUACCAUGGGUGACAUGCUAGCAAAUGCUUUGGUGAAUGUGGUGAAUUUGGUGAGUGAUUAUUACUACCUUGACAAGAAAAUGCAAAAUCUUAAGAGGAAGGUUGAACAACUUAGUUGUCACAAAGCUGAUAUGGUUGCAAGGCUAAGAGAGGAAGAACAUCAUCCAGGGAAAAGGCGAAAAAAUGUGGUCAAAUAUUGGUUGAGCGAAGUAGUAUCAAAGCAAAAAGAAUUCGAAAGCUUGGAAGUGGAAGUGAACCAAAAGAGUUGUAUUUCGCGUGUGAAAUUGGCGAAGCGGGCUAAUGCAAUGAUUGAGGAAGUGACAGAACUUCUUGAUCAAGGCAUAUUCUUUGAGGGGGUUGUACUAGAUGUUAGUGAGACAAUAGAGGAGAAAUUUGUAACUGUAGAAUGGAGAGGCCAAGCAUUUAAUGAAAAUUUGAAGACGGUUAAGAAUUAUUUAUUGGGGAAUGAGGUCUCAAGUAUUGGUGUCUAUGGCAUGGGAGGAGUUGGCAAAACAACACUGGCACAAUGUAUCUAUAAUGAGCUCAAGAAUGAAAGUUCGUUCUGCGGUAAUAUAUUCUGGUUCACCGUCUCGCAAGAUUUAAACAUUCACAAGUUGCAGGAUGACUUUCGAAAGGCCCUUAAACUAGAUCCUUUCGAUGAAGAUGAUGAGCACAAGAGGGCAGCCAAAUUGGGUGGGGCAUUGGAGAGAAAGAAGAGAUUUGUACUCAUGUUGGACGACGUCUGGACUCAUUUUUUGCUGGAGAGGAUUGGAAUUUCUCCCACUCUACAUGGAUUUAAGAUAAUAGUAAUUAGUCGAUCACUAGAGGUGUGUCGCAAAAUGAAAUGCCAAAAGUGUGUAAAAGUGGAAGUUCUUUCGGAUGAAGAAGAUUGGAAGCUAUUUAUGAACAAACUUAGUGAUGGCAAACGACUUCCACCCAAAGUGGAAGAGAUAGCAAGAGAAGUGGUAAAGAAGUGUGCUAGUCUGCCUCUUGCAAUUAUCACCAUGGCUGGAAGCUUGAGGGAAGUGGUUGACAUUCAUGACUGGAGGGAUGCCCUGGAAGAGCUGAUAGAGUCGUGUGUGGGACGAGAUGUCAUGGAAGAUGAGGUUUUUCCGAUAUUAUUGUGUAGUUUUAAUCGAUUGAGGGAUCCAAUACUAAAGCGUUGUUUCUUGUAUUGUUCCCUGUAUCCCGAAGACCGCAGAAUUGAAAGACACGUGUUGAUAUCAAGUUUCAUUUCAGAGGGGUUGAUGGAUACAAGAAGAAGCAGGCAAGCAUACUUUGACCAAGGUCACAAAAUAUUGAAUAAAUUGGAGAGCGUUUGCUUAUUGGAAAGAUGUGAAGAAUCUAACUAUGUAAAGCAGGGUGUGAAGAUGCAUGAUCUAAUAAGAGACAUGGCUUUAAAGAUCACAAAAGAUGACUACAUGGUAAAAGCUGGACUUCAGUUAAAGGAAAUUCCAGAGGAGCAGGAAUGGAAGGAAGAUUUGGUUAAGGUUUCCUUAAUGGAGAACAUGAUAAAAGAAAUUUCGAGAGUCACAUCACCCAAGUGUCCUAAACUUUCAACCUUGCUUUUGAUGUCCAAUCCUCUGAAGUUUAUUCCAGAUUCAUUCUUUUUGCAAAUGCGUGGCCUGCAUGUUCUCAAUUUGAGUCACACUCCGAUUGAGUACUUGCCCAGUUCCAUAUCGGACUUGAAGGAACUUAAUGCAUUAUUACUCAAUUUUUGUGUAUUACUUACGUUUCUACCACCAUUGGGAAACCUCAAGGAGCUGAAAGAGCUAGGCCUUCGUUUGACUUCCAUUAAGGAAAUACCCGAAGGCAUGAAAAGUUUAACCAAUCUCAAAUGCUUGGACACAGUUGACUCAUAUAUAGCAACAAUUCCAACGGGGACUUUACAAAGACUGUCACUUCUUCAGCAUCUAAUGCUACCUUUUAGAACGACAAUACCAAUAGAAGAAGUUGCAGGAUUGAAACAACUAGAAGACAUUCACUGCAAAUUUGGCAGCGUGAAUGAUUUCAACAUAUUUAUGAAGUCUCUACCAAGUGAUGGGCAGCUCAAUAUCUUUGAUAUUCGAAUAGGUGACACUCCUGUUUAUCAUACGAAAGAUUUGGUGGUAAAACAGAUAAUUUUUGGAACAGACAGUCUUAAGAAAGGCGAAAGAGGCAGAGACGAGAUUACGCUGCCACGAAAUAUCGAGAGAGUGGAGUUUGUCCGGUGUGGUCUGGAUAGCUGCUUAUUUGAUAAUAUCCAACAAGUAAAUAAUGCUAUAGAAUUGAAGCACUGCAUUGUUAAAGGCGAUGGAAUAGAGUUCAUUGUGAGAUUGUCGCUUGAGAAGGAACUGAUGCCACUCCAUUACCUUCAAAAUUUGAUCCUUGAGCACUUGCCGAAUUUUAUUGGUCUCAUCCGGUGGGAUGUAACACCAACAGUUGCACCGCUUCCACAUGGCCUUUUUUCUCGCCUUCAAAGUUUGAGGAUUUGGGGUUGUGACAAAAUCAAGAAGCUUCUCCCUCCGAGUUUGGUACUAAACCUUCAUAACCUCAAGCGGUUGAUUGUUUCUUCAUGUGCAAAAAUGGAAGAGAUAAUAGGAGAAGAUGAAAGUGAUGCAGGAUUCGGUGCAGAAAGUAAUACCGACAUCACCCUGCCAAGGUUAGAGUUUUUGCAACUCAGCAAUCUGCCAGAAUUAAAAAGCAUAUGCAAGGGGACAAUAAUCUGUCAUUCCAUUGAGGUAAUUUGUUUAUACGAUAUUACAAAAGUAAGGAAGGUGCCUCUGUUUCUGCAGCUUAACAAUGAUGGACAACUAUCUCCGCCCCCGUCUCUCAAAAUGAUAAAAGUAUUCGAAAAUGAUAAAGGAUGGUGGGAAUCAUUGGAGUGGGACCAGCCCAAUGCCAACAGCGUCCUUCAAUCCUUCGUUCAUUUACGUGUUUAGAACUUUAGUUUCCAAUUGCAUGUGGGUGAAUACUUUGAUUUGAGUCCUGAGAUGAAGAUAGAACCACUCUGCUUCCUUCUAAACUUGAUAUGUUUCAUGCUUUUAUUAUUAUUCAAUUCCGUCUCUUUGAAUUUUCUUUGGCAAAUAGACACGUUGCUAUGCAGCUACAAAAAUUCUUAGAAUGAAAUUUGAAUUUAUCAUUUUUGAUGCUUAGGGACGAAGAAACAUAAUUACAAGGUGUAAUUCCAAUCUCCCUACCUCAUAUUACCAUUUUCCCUUAUCUUCUGUUGUUUCUUUAGUGAUUCAAGUAACCAAUGGUUUAUUAUAUUAGUAUGGUAAAUGUGACACAGGUUGUAAGUGUGAUAGAAAGAUACCUCGAGACUAAUAGGACAUGGACAUACAAAAUAAAGAAGCAGCAAAUUUUGAGUGUCAAUUCCCAGAAAAUGUCCAUUAUUUCGCAAUUGUUAACGCAAAUAAACAUGACACUACCAACACUCAAUGCUUGUAGGAGAAUUAUGAACAAACAGUAACACAAAGUUUACAGUAUCAAACCAGCAUUGAAGUAGUACUAGGCAACACACAGACUAAGUUCAAAUAUCCUGCUCGAACUAGCAUUAGAUUUAAGUGUGAGUUAACAUAUCGUGUCUGGACUGGCACGAGAAUGAACAAGAAUCGGGCAGUAACUGAUGCUACUGCUCAAUAACCAUGAAUCUUGAUCAGUUCCUUCUUCAUAAUUCCAGCCUGAUAAGAAACCAAAUUAAAACAAUAAAUAUUAUCACUGGAACUCCAAACCCCUAAAUUAAAUAGUCUCUCUCUACGAACACAGUGGCACUGAGCAUCCAUUUGUCGUUUCUUAAGUUACUUAUAAUUUCACUUUCAAAUUCAAAUUUAAUUUUAACCCACAUUUUGUAAGACUCACAACUAUUACACAUGUAUCCACCAAUCAUUUCUAUCACAUUAUAAUUUUAGUAACUUAAUAUUUUAUUAGAGCAAGCACUAAGUAGAAAAACUAAAACAUGCUUCAAAUCAUCUUCCUCCAUGGCUAUUUAUUAUUCAAUUUUCUUACAUCUCAUGAACUUAACAGCCAAAAGUAAUCACCUGAACAAGAAUGGUGGAAUUAUUCUUUAGCUUGAAUAACCUUCACAAGAGAGUCAGACUUCAACAUUAAAUAUGCUAAAACCCAACCAAUUGGAAGGAGGGAAAGGAAAUAGAUCUAUGUUAAGAAACAAUACACACUUGGCCUAGUUCUGGUUCCUGGGUAAUAGUACCAUUGCAGCAGCAUUCUUUCUGAAGAUCCUUGACUAAUUUAUUAUAACUGAACUCAUUUCUUCAAUCCUUGCAUAGUUGUUCGGCUUUUCCUACCAUUCCUUUGUUGUACGCGAAUAUGAACACAUUCUUUUGUACCAGCACCGAAAUUAUCAGCAUUUGCCUCAGCAAAAUGAUCUCCACAUUACAUGAAAAGUCUAAGAGAUUUAAUUGUAAGCAAGAUGGAAUUUCCUUCUUAAGCUCUUAAUAGUCAUAUAGAGAGAGUCUUUCUUCCUCCUACUCAAUAUAAAAUGUUUAUACUCUCAUUUCAUGCUUAAGAGAAAAACUAAAACAAGGCAGAAUAGACAAAAUAUUUACAGAAAACAAAAGGAAUAAGAGGAUAGCUUACAAAAAGCAGUAGGAGUCUGGAUGUCAAAAUCAGACAUGAAACUUGGCUGAUAUAACAAGCGUGUAUAGCAAAGUGUGAUUUGUUAAAGAAGAUUUAAAUGCUCAGACCUGGAUGAAAGAAAUGAAAUUGAAUUUAAUGAACACAUAAUCUAUAGAUGCAAAAUUAGAUAUUAAUGCUCAAGGGUGGAUGAAAUCAUGAAAGAAACAAUGAUUAGCUAAUUAUAAUAAUGUACGCAUUUGAGAGACUGAUGAUUGAAGAUCCUCUGUUUCAAUUGGGAAAGAAAGAAAUCAUCAAUAUGUGUGAUAUCUCAAUGGACCCGAGAUAGAGAUCCUUAUAUACAUAACUCAUAAACACAACUUGUUAUAUUAGGUGAGUCCAUUUCAUAAACCAAGAAAACCAAAAACACAUCAAUCUAUUUAAAUAAAUCAAAACAAACAAAAGCUUUGAAAGCUUACGAAAAGAAAUUUACAGACUAGAAUAUGUCCUUCAAUAUAUAAUUAGGUGUUCAAGAUUAUAUCAAUUAAAAAAAGUGAUUGGAGGAGAAUUACCUGAUCAAAAGAUUAGGAUUUGUCAAAUUCCAACUCAGUGAAGAACCUAACGGUUGUGUCUGAGCAGAGUGGAAGAGACUCCAAGAGGGAUCGGUGACUCAAGGAAAAAGAGGCUUGGGAAACGUUUGAUGGUCGGGAUUUUAAUGUAUGUGUGCGGAACAUCGUAAAGUUUUUUGAUUUUGAAAAACAUUGGUGGUUAUAAUACGGGAAGUAGAUAAGGAAUGCUAGUUUUAUUUACGAAGUCGUUAGAUUGUGAUUGUAGUUUUAUUUAAAAAUGUGUGAGCCCCUUUUUGAGGCUCUACCGUGACAUGAAGUAAAUUAUAUGAAAUGGAAAUUAACAUAAAGAGCUCUGAAAUGUUCUAAAACUAUUGAUCGAGAGUCUUCAAUAGAGCGAAAUGUGUUCUGAAAUAGUGUUUUUCUAAAAUAUGUGGGUAAAAAAUAAAAAUAAAAUUUGAUUUACGCAUAAAAUAGUGUAUUCUUUUUCCCCUUUUCAGGCCAUUUUAUGUUUUCGAUUUUUCAAAACGAUGAAAACGCGUUCUCUUUCUCGUUUUCGAAAAUAAAUUUUCGAAAAUGAAAAAAAUUUGUAAAGAAAACACGAAACGAUGCUUUUGUCGUUUUGGCCGUUUCCAAUACAAAACUCGAAAAAAUUGAAAACACGGAAAUGGUUCCAAAAUGGUUAAAAGAACGCAUUUUCAGCAAUAUCAAAAUAGACACCAAAACACAAAAUUCAAAACUACAAAAAUGAAACUCGAAGAGAACAACCCCUCAAUUUUUUAUAAAAUGGAGCAAACAAGGGCUUAAUUCAGGAGGUGAAGACUUGGCGAAAGAUAAAAAGAAAAUAUCUUUUUUUCUACUAGGCCUUGUGGGGAAGGGCUGGGCUUUAGCCCAAGCUUACCCACCUCUCUACACCCCUGAAUUAUAGCCAUGGAUAUGCACAUUUAAACAAGUUAUGUGUCCUUAUAUUUUAACAAAUCAAUCAUUUGGCCCCGUUCUGAUUUUGCUCAAAAUCAAAUUUUUAGUAGAUUUAAAUAGAAGUUGAUAAAAUUUAUAAAUUUCAUGAAAUAAGUAAUUGAAAACGAGUUUGACGAAAAAUGAUUUUUUGAAAAUAGCAGCACUUAAACCAUCUAUAUUUCCAUCUAAAUUGGCAGUAAGUAGGGCUAAGUUACAUUACCAAAGUAAAACCAAAUCAUAUUUUGACAAUUUAUGCAUGUAGAUAUUACGUGUAAGUUUCAAUGGACAACUUCUUGCUUCCCUUCAUAACAUUCAAAAAAGUGCAACUUAACUGAACAAUGUACAAGCAUGAAAUUAAUCUAUAUCUCUAUAUACUGAAAAGAAUCAAUUUAUGCAAUUGUUAACCAAGUAAAAUACAACAUCAAUCAGUGACUUUCUUAGGCUACUGAUAGAGAACAUGAGAAAACCAUUGACAUUAUUAGUUAAUUACAAUGGAAAUAAGAAAAUCAUCCUAGAAUUUCAACCACUCAAGAAUGGUUGCUGCCACUUACUUCUGUUCUCCACCAUUAAAUCAUCCCAGAAUCAUCAUUUUAACAAGAAGAACAAAAAGCAGUCCACAAUCAGAAUCAUCUUUUGGAAAUAUUAUAAGAUUCAAAUCCAUCCAUGAUAAAUAACAAUCAUCAGUUAUUACAUGCUGUUAGUAUUCAUCGAACAAAUACGUAAAAAUGUAUAUACUAAUCCAGACUGAGAAUGUGCAUAAACGAUCUUUCAUAAUCAUAAAUGGAGGGAAGCCCCAUGAACUUCCAUACUUAAAAACAAACAUAACUAGCACAACAAGCAACAAGAACAUCAAAUAUUAAAGUAUGAAUUUUCUGCACAGGAUAGGGACAUACUUGUUCUCCUUGUUCAAGACGAGCAACAAGACACUGUUGAAACCACACCAAGGACCACACAUCACCACCUGCAGGACCACUAUCAGCAAAAUAUUCAGAAACCACCACGGAGGACAAGACGGAGGGUAGACUCCUUUUGGAUGUUGUGGUCAGCAGGGUCUUUCCAUCCUCCAACUAUUUCCCAGCAAAGAUCAAUGAAUCUUAGCCUUCACAUUGUCAAUGGAAUCAGAACUCUCCAGCUUCAAAGUGAGAGUCAUUCCAGUCAAAGACUUGACAAAAAUUUGCAUCCCUCUCCUCAACCUAAGCACCAAGAGCAGAGUAAACUCUUUUUGGGUGUCGUAGUCGGUCAAGGUACGGCCAUCCUCAAGCUGCUUCCCAACGAAGAUGAGCCUCUGUUGGUCUGUUGGAAUACCCUCCUUAUCCUUACGUUGUCAAUGGUAUCGAGCUUUCCACUUCGAGGGUAAAAGUCUUGCCAGUCAAGGUUUUCACGAAAAUCUGCAUCUGUAAAAUUAAAACAAGAAACAAGACCCACAACAGAAUUUAUCUCAUUAUAUUCUAAAAAUAAAAUUAAAUAGUACAGAAAAUUUUAUCGCUAACAUAUAAAUUAUUGACAAAAAUGGCAAAUUGAACUACAAAUAUUCACUGAGAGACAGAUACAGAGCAAAAAUAAUUGGAAUUAGGAAAUAAUAAACAAAUUCUCAAUCAAAACAAAGACCAUUCAACUAUAAAAAGGGGAACUCUAUCAAACGUCCAGUUUUAUGUGACAAUAGAUGAUACAUUCACUUAAAUACAUUAUCAAAUUAUUCAUUUAAUUAUAUCUAUUAAAUAUAAUCAUUUGUACUUGUGGUGUAAGACCAUUUGUCCUAGAUAUUAUUAUUCUUUCAAGAAAAAGCAACACAGAGAAAAGGAAAAAGAGAAUGGCGACCUACAGUAUGAUACAAAUUCCUCUUCCCAUUUCCAUGAAAUUUCAUGAACAAAAAUAAAAAUUAGGGAUUAAGAGUCUAAAUUAAUUGAUCCUCUUCUAUACAUGUAAUCUGUCAUAAGCAGCUAGUGGAAGGAAGCUCCUGGAGAAAGAAGAAGAAGAGGUCUCAACGAAAUUACCAGAAACUGCAAGCUGGAGACGACGCCAUUCGGUGUUAUAUUAGAGACGGCAGUUUCAACAUUUCAAAUUGGCAAUUUCAGCAUAUUUCAAAUUGUUAACCGUAAAUACGCCUUUUUUCCCACUACUUAAACAAGAGACAGGAAUGAAGGAAAUUCUGAACAGACAUAAUUGGUUUCCUUCCUUCUCUCUCGAUCUGAAACUCUCUCUUCUUUCUCGUUCUUUUUCUUUCAUUUAUAUUUCACUUAUCUUAGUGGAAUAUUAUCUUAGUUGAAUAUUAUUACAGUUGGGUGUUGAAUUGCUGUUGAAAUUUGUAAAUUGUGGACUGAUUGUGUUGGAUUUAUUUGGUUUUGAUUGAAGUUAUAAUCAAUCAUUACAAGUGGUAUCAGAGCAGUAACAGUUCUGGAAAUGGACACUCGAGCCAAAGUAGUAGAGGAACACCUCAAAAAAUUGGACGAGGAGGUUGCAAGUCUGGGUGAAACUAUCCAUGAAAUGGCUAACAAGAUGGAGACCUUUGACCAAACAUUAAAGGCCCUAUGUAACAAGCAAGAUCGUAUGGAGAUGAUGAUAGGGGAACUGAAUUCUAAGCAUGAAUCGUUGGUGGCAAUGAUGGCCCAAAUGAUGGGGCAAAAGGAGGAAUCUAGAGACAAACAGAAAAUGGAUACGCCAGUUCAGAUUUACAACGGCGAGGGACUACUCACACCACGCCUGGGAUCCACAUCGGGUAGUAAUACCAAUAGUGGUGAAAUGAGAGGAGUUAAGUUGCCUAAGAUUGAUUUCCCUUAUUUUAGUGGUGAAGGGCCUCGAGAAUGGUUGAGGAAGGCUCGAAAAUACUUCCAAAUCCACCAAAUUCCUGAUGAAAUUAGGGUCAGUGUUGCUGAAAUGUAUUUAAAAGGGAAAGCAGAUGUGUGGUUUCAUGGCUUCAUCAGUAGCAAUUCCAAUGCUCACUGGGAUUUAUUCUCUAAGGAAGUGUGCAGGAGAUUUGCAGAAGCUACCGGUGAAGAGGUUAUAGAAGCUUUUAGUAAGAUCAGGCAAAGGGGUACAAUAGCUGAAUACCAGGAGCAAUUUGAGGACCUUAAAUCUCAGGUGAUGCUAUCUCUUCCCCACCUCCCUGAGUCGUAUUAUAUAUCCAUCUUUACUAGUGGAUUGAAGGAGGAAAUCAGGUCCAUGGUAAAAAUCAUCAAGCCAACCUCUAUCGCCCAAGCCUUUGAAAUAGCUCUCUUACAGGAAAACACUAUAUCAGCUUUGAACAAAAACACAAAAAAUCCAACCAAACUCAGUUACUCCUCUAAAUGGCCUAACCUACCACAAAAACCCACCGAAACUAACCAAAAAUUUCCUUACACCAAUGUCACUGAACAAUUCCAAAAGAACCAAACUAACCCCUUGAAAUUCAAAACAAUCACCCCCACUGAUAUACAAACCAAGAUGAGCCUGGGAUUAUGCUUUAGAUGUGAUGAAAAAUAUGCCCCUGGACAUAUAUGCAAGAACAGAAUGCUGAACUUUAUGUUGGUGGAUGAUGAAGUAGAGAGAAAAAAUGAAGAAGAAGAGGAAACUGUUGAGCAAGUUGAAAAGGAAGGGGAUGAAGAAGUCAUGGAAAUCUCCAUUAAUGCAUUAUCUGGCAGCCUGAAACCAAAAACCAUCAAAAUCCCGGCCACAUAAGGAGAAAGAAAGUGUCAAUCCUCAUCGACAGCGGCAGUACCCAUAGCUUUAUUGAUGAAAGGUUAGUAAAAGAGUUGAAGUGUAAAACAGAACCAACCUAAUCUGUGACAGUUACUGUGGCCAAUGGAGACAAGUUACAAAGCACUGCCAUUUGUAAUCCACUUAUUUGGGUCAUGCAAAGGAUGGAAUGCCAGUUCCAACUGAGGGUGUUGAAGCUAGGAGGGAGCGAUAUGGUGUUGGGGGUAGACUGGCUAAGUCAAUUCAAUCCAGUGGUGUUUGACUUCGAGCGAAGUAGCAUCAGAUUCUCUUACCAAGGAAUGGAAGUGGAGUUGAAGAGUGAAAACAUAAAUGAGGAAAUUCUGAUGAUAGAAGGAAGGCGAAUGAAUCAGUGGAUCCAAAGGCAAUCCUAUGGGAUUAUAGCUCAAAUUCAAACAAUCAAAGAAGGAGAAGAAAACCAAAUCCCUGUUGAAGUGCAGAAUAUUAUUAAGCAAUACUCCGAAGUAUUCAUGGAACCAAAAGGGAUGCCCCCUCCCAGGUCUAAUGAUCACAGAAUUUCCUUGAAAGAAGGAACACAGCCUUUCAAGAUAAGGCCAUACCGAUGUCCUUAUGUUCAGAAGACUGAACUGGAAAGGAUGGUAAAAGAGAUGUUAGAGGUAGGGAUUAUUCAGCCCAACAAUAGCCCUUUUGCCUCACCUGUGAUACUAGUGAAAAAGAAAGACGGCACUUGGAGAUUUUGCGUGGACUACAGGCAACUAAACAACUUGACCAUCAAGGAUAAAUAUCCCAUGCCAUUGAUUGACGAAUUAAUUGAUGAACUUCAUGGCUCUAAGUACUUUUCCAAAAUCGAUUUGCGAGCUGGGUACCAUCAGAUUAGGAUGGCAGAAGCUGACAUCUAUAAGACAGCUUUCAAAACUCACCAGGGUCUAUAUAAGUUCAAAGUGAUGCCGUUUGGCCUUACCAAUGCCCCAGCCACAUUUCAAGGUUUGAUGAAUGAAAUAUUCAAGGCCUACUUGAGGAAGUUUGUUCUGGUGUUCUUUGAUGAUAUUCUGGUAUACAGCCCCGAUCUAAAUUCUCAUUGCAAACACCUAUCCAUUGUACUGGACGUGCUGAAGGAGCAAAGGUUGUAUGCAAAGGAAUCUAAGUGUUCAUUUGGACAGCUAAAGGUAGAAUACUUGGGACAUAUAAUAUCAUCUGCAAGAGUGUCAGCUGAUCCACAGAAGGUAAGCGCAAUGCGACAAUGGCCUAGACCCAACACAGUGAAGCAGUUGAGAGGGUUCCUUGGCUUGACAGGCUAUUACAGGAAAUUUGUUAAAGGGUAUGGGAUUUUGGCUAAACCUCUAACAGAUCUUCUCAAAAAAGACGGAUUCAAUUGGAAUGCUGAUGCAGAAACAGCUUUUCAAACAUUGAAAACAGCAAUGUGCAAUACCCCUGUUCUGGCAUUACCGGACUUUAACCAGCCAUUCAUUAUUGAGACAGAUGCUUGUGCAGGAAGAAUGGGAGCAGUCCUGAUGCAAGGGAAGAGACCUAUUGCUUAUAUGAGUAAAGGCAUUAGCAAAGAAAAGUUGGGGAUGUCCAUUUACGAAAAAGAGUUGCUAGCAUUGGUUACGGCGGUAGGGAAAUGGAGGCAUUACCUCGAGGGACACCAUUUCAUAAUCAAGACGGACCAUCAGUCGUUGAAAUACCAUUUAGAGCAGAGGAUUACCACCCCUCUCCAACAGAAGUGGCUGACCAAACUCCUUGGGCUCAGUUAUGAGAUUCAAUAUAAGAAAGGGGCUGAAAACUUGGUGGCGGAUGCUUUAUCCAGGAGGGAAGAGCCUGGGGUCGAAGUUACUGCCAUAUCUCAAGUUGUUCCUACUUGGGUACAAGAGGUGAUGGAAAGUUAUCAAGGAGAUGCAAUAGCUAACCAGUUGAUUGAAGCACAACUAAUUAAACCUGGAGAGGCAUCUGAUUAUUCCUAUAAGGAUGGACUACUCAAACACAAAGGGAGACUGUAUGUGGGGUCAGGUGGACAGAUUAGAGCCAAAUUGAUACAAAACAUACAUUCUUCACAGAGUGGAGGCCAUUCAGGGUCCAAGCUAGUGUGUAUAGGGUCAAACAACACUUCUUUUGGCCGGGUAUGAUCAAAGAUAUCAAAAGGGAGGUGCUACAAUGUGAUGUUUGCCAAAGAUGUAAAGGGGAACAUGUUUCCUACCCCGGUUUAUUACAGCCUCUUCCUGAGCCACAGUAUUCCUGGAGUCAUAUCUCAAUGGACUUCAUUGAAGGGCUACCUCCUUCGAAGGGUAAGACAGUGAUUUUGGUUGUAGUAGACAGGUUCACGAAGUAUGGACAUUUUCUUGCCUUAUCCCACCCCUUCUCAGCCUCUAGCAUUGCCAAAUUAUUCCUGGAUAACAUCUACAAGUUACAUGGGAUGCCUCAAAGUAUUGUGUCAGAUAGGGAUAAAAUAUUUAUCAGUGGGUUUUGGCAAGGNNNNNNNNNNNNNNNNNNNNNNNNNUGCGCUGCAUGACUUUCCAUCAGCCUAAACAGUGGUCCAACUGGUUGUCAUUGGCUGAGUGGUGGUAUAAUACCACUUAUCAUACUGCCAUCAAGAUGUGCCCUUUUGAAGCCUUGUACGGGAUCAAGCCACCACGGUUGGCGUUGGGCCCUUACCAACAGACCAACAUUGCGGCAGUAGACGAAUUGGUACAAGAGAGGCACCAUAUGGAUCAGUUACUUAAAGAACAUUUAGCAGAAGCCAGGGCAAGGAUGAAGUUCUAUGCUGACCAGCACAGGGUUGACAGAGAGUUUCAAGUAGGCGAAUGGGUAUAUUUGAAGCUCCAACGGUAUAAGCAGCAAUCCAUAGCCACACGAGUCAACUCCAAAUUAUCUGCAAGAUACUACGGGCCUUAUCAGAUUAUCAGAAGGAUAGGACAGGUAGCUUAUGAAUUGGAACUUCCCCAAGGGUCUAAGAUUCAUCCUAUUUUCCAUGUCUCACUGUUGAAGAGGAAGAUAGGCAACAAAAAAGUACCUAUUGUGCUAAUCCCAGAGAUUGAUGAAUCGGGGCAACAGCGCGGCACACCACUAGCAGUCUUACAAACCCGCAUCAUUAAGCGAAAUAAUCAGGCUGUUACUCAAUGGUUAGUGCAAUGGACGAAUGCUGUCAGGGAAGAUGCAACUUGGGAAGAUGCUGCAACUAUCCAGAAGCAAUUUCCCUACUUCCAGCCUUGGGGACAAGGUCGAUUUGAGGGGGAGGAAUGUCAUAAGCAGCUAGUGGAAGGAAGCUCCUGGAGAAAGAAGAAGAAGAGGUAAUCUUUGUAUAAUCCACUAAAAUUAAACAAAAGAAUUUAUCCAAUUCGUCUAUAAACAAAGAAAAUCAGCAAGUGAAUCACAUAAAUUCUCAAUCAAAUAAAUAUAAGCCAAAUAGUUAUCAAAACAGGGAACUCUCCUGACAACAGAUUAUAUGCAGGACCAAAACAAAAGAUUCAGGAGGAAGCAAGCAGAUCGCAAGGAGACUUGAGCAUAGAAUUCUGGAAUCUAACAAAAUACUUCUUGAGAGAAUUGAUACAUAAUUAAACAGAUCCAAUAUCAAUGAAAGAUUAUCAACACUCCCCUAGAACUUUCUUUCAAUAACUGAAAUAAAUUAUAAAAUCGAUCAACACAUCAGGUCACAAAACUAUGCUGCAAGAACGGAUAGAUCUACUGUAAAAUUUAAAACAGAAAAACUCGAAAUGUAUUACUUUUCAAACAGCCAAUUUGAAAGGAAAAAUUAUUACGAAUUCGGAACGAAAUUCAAAAGAAGACAAGAGAAGGCUGCAAUACCUUGAAAGGAAAAUUUGAGAACGCUUUACAGAAUUGAUUAGAAGAGAAAUCUGUAUUUGAUGAUCUAUCUGCAUAAACGAGGGCAUAUAGCCAUUAGACAUAUGACCGUCUUAAUGUGUAAACAACCCUUUUAUUGGAUUCCAAGUUUUGAAGGUUUGUGACCUAACCCGUAAUAAUUUUAAAGUUAGGUAACUCAAUCGUAAUUUUUGCAAUCUUA